AGAUCUAUUCAUCCUUUGUCCAAGCCAAUCUGAGCCUUUGCAAUUUUCUUUUCAUUGCUUGCAUAGUUGAAUUAUCGGUUGCAUCGUCGUGUCGAGGUGCUGGUCUUAGUGUCUAGUUCGUUUAUAUUUCUGUUCACAUUAGUCACGCCGCCGCUGCAUCGUUAUCCCUUCCGCUGUCCACCACGCAUCCAUCAAUUUCCACCAUGUGCUACCCACCGUUCAUUGCCAUAAUCAUAGUUGAGAAUGUUCACAUCUUCGCUUGAUCCAAUCUGCAUCUUAUCUAGUUUGUUUUGGAAAUAGAGAGAGAGAAAAAAGAGAGAAAAAAGAGAAAAAAAGAGAGAAACAGGUAGAAAAAAAAGUGUGAGAAAAAAAAGAGAGAAGAAAAAAAAACAAAAUUCGGAUCUAUCUAGACUCAAUCUCGUAGUUGGAUUGGAAUCUGUUUUGUGCACUGUAUAGUAAAACAGGCAUAACUUCCGCGUACGAAGUCCGUUUUGGCUCCGCAAGUACUCAAACGAAAGCUAGCGACGAGCCGCAUCUAAAUAGUUGCAAAGCACGUUCAAUAUUUGGCACCUCAAAAUCGGCUUCUAAAUAGGUCUUUUUGCCCUCCGAAGUUCGCGAACACAGCUUAUUCCAGUUUUUCAAGCCAGUUUUAGAAUUUUUUGACUCCUCAUAUCAACUCAGAAUUGAGUGAUUCUUUUUGCGUUUGAAAGCUUGAGUCAGUGCCUUUUUGAGAAAAAUUAUUAGAAAGAUUGCACAAACUUUUCCCGAGAAAAGUUGAGGAGAAAGUUGUUGAUAUAUCCUGCUUGGUUGUGUUUUCACAUCAUUAUCUUUACUGCUAUUGUGACCUUCACUUAUAUCUUGCUGUCCAGAGCUACUUCAUAUCCUUUAUUGAUGCUAGUUGUGCUACGCCGUGACCUUAUUAGUGUUCUAGGCUCGCGUCUCUAGUUCUGAUCUAGCCUAGGACCAGCACAGUACCGUCGUUGAGCGUUUAUUCAACAUUGCAUCUUUGAGUUGAUUAUUGAUAAUAUUUUGCUACCAUAUAUAGCCAACCCAGCUCCACAUAUUUCUACACCGUAUAUAUGUACGUUCUCCUGGCAAUCGCUUUACACAAUCUUCGGAGUUAUUUGACACCGCUGGUUGCCUGUCACCAUCUGCCGCAUGGUAAGAACUUGUAAGAUAUUGAUAUUUGCUUUACUGUGAGCACUUUACAACCACAUCCUAGUAGUUCAUUGGAACAUUAUUCUCGAAUUUUGUUUCUUGUUUCUACUAAUCAUGACAGGUUCCGUAGAUAGAAGUUCUUGGACGACGGACACAUCAUCACCAUCACAAGAGUUGGGACGACACACACAAGCACAUGGUCAGGGUUAUCCCUUUACCGUCAUUUGAGGGUAGAUUUAAUCCUGCUAUUUAUCUAGCUUGGGAGCUUGAAGUAGAACAAGUUUUUAGUCACCAUGACUCUUCUGAACUUGAGCUAGUACGAGCUGCCACUAGAGCAUUUACUGGUUUUGCUUCUGUUUGGUGGAGUGUGCAUUGUAAGAAAAACAUUGAUAACCAACCCACAACUUGGAAAGAUUUGAAAGAUCUAAUGAGACAACAAUUUUUCCCUCCUUACUAUCGUCGUGAAUUGCUUUGCAAAUUUGAACAAUUUAAACAAGGCAACAACACUGUUCAUGCUUACUACCAAGAGUUCAAAUCUUAUAUGCAUCAUUGUGACAUAGAAGAAUCUGUGAAUGAUACAAUGAAUAGAUUUUUUGGUGGUUUGAACCAUGAUAUUCAGGCACGAUUUCAGUAUAUUCCUCGUUGCAUUACUGGUAUGUAUGUUCGUGCUUGUACCUUUGAGAGACAGUUACAGGAGGAUGCAUUGGGUGACUACAACAACUACUAUUCUAGUUCAUGCUCACCACCACCGCUUGGUUCCUCCACCGUUGCACCUACUAGAGCAGCCACACCUCAGAUUGUGAGCGCUACAUCAUCUCAAGGGUAUGGUACAUUGCCAUCAUCCGUACCUAAAUCAGCUACAUCUUUGCGACAAGGUAAUUGUAAAGGUAUUGAUGAUAUAACUUCACAUGAGAAUGAUGCAUGCCUAGUUAACUUGGAUACAUCAUGUGUUGAGUUACCUGUUGAUUUGAGCGCAUCACCUAUUUUAGAGAAUCAUGUUACUGUCAUGAAUGCGUCAUGUGAUCAAACACCUGAAAUACCAACAAUUUUGAGUGCACCCAAUGAAUUAACUGUUGAUGCAAAAGAACCAGUGUUUAAUCAUUUUGAUAUGACCUCUAAUCUUGGUGAUGAUUCUGUGUCAAAUGACUUAUUGCAUGUUUUCUUAUUUAAGCAUGUUGUAGCAUGUAAAUUUGAUGCAAGUAAGGUUUAUUCACCAAUGUUGGGAUGGUUUAAUGAUGAAUAUUGUCAAUCUUUUCAUAUGAAUAAGAGCUUCACUUAUAUGUGCAAACUGAGUUGCAAUACUUUCAUGCCUUCUACUUCUUGUGAUAAUAUUUUGGCUUUAUAUUUUAUUAGCUAUGAAAGUUACUCAUGUAUACAUGUGUCAUAUGUGCAAAAUCCACGGGAAGUAAAAAUGGAUGAUGUAUACAUAUACAACAUGUACACCUUGUCUCUUUUGUUAGCCACAUUUCAGAUUAAGCAACGCCGAGGACGGCUUUAUUUUCAAGAAGGGGAGAAUGAUGAGGACAUUACUACCUUGGAUACGACCAAAAAUAUUGCAUACAUGCAUAUUUGUCAGGUGAUUUCUAGUGCAAACUAUUCAAUAAUCUAUUUAUGUUAUCCAGAACAAAAAUACUUCACACACUUUUGUAUUUUGUCUAAUUGCAGGUGUAUGGGACAUUUGUACAAUCCACAUAUGAAGAUAGGGGAAAAGGUGAAGUUUAUGUUCUGUUCAAAAAGUCCUCUCACGUCACUUUUGGGCCAAGAGAAGAUAGAGUCCAAGUCUCUCACGUUCUGGAUUCAGAUUCGGACUGCACAGACAUACCUGAGUCAAAACGCGAACAACUUUUUCAUACGGACUCCGAAUUGGGUGAUUCUUUUUUUGUUGGAAAGUAGAUUUCGUCCUCUUUCCAACCCAAUUGGAUUCACCUUUAAAUUCGUCCGGAGGGUUGAGAUAUGGACGAAACAAUCUGACACUACAGCAGAAUCCGAGUCAAACAACAAGUCCAAAGGUGUUGCAUCACCUCCACUUGGGCCCAUGAGCCUUGUACGACCUAGGGUUGGUUUUAGGCUGCCUUGGGACGUCCUCCCACCUCCUUGGUCGACACCCCUUGCUCCUAUAUAAGUAGAUCCAUCUAGUAGCUUUUCCUAGGGAUUUGUUUAGUUAAAAGUUAGCCAUUGCAACUUCGUGCACUUCGUUUGUGUCCAACGACCAGACCAAGACCGCUUCCGGAUCCCCACCUUUACCAAUACUUCAUCUAUAUUCGCAAUAUUCAGAUUGCAUUAUCAUAUUUUUGCUUGUUCUUCGAUUGCGUGCAGGAAUAGAGCUUCGUGGUCAGGCUGAUCGUGCUCCGGCGUGGUCAAUAACCUCUCGGAGUUGGUUUAGCGAUUGCUAAGGCGCAACGUUGUGCACGUUCAUAGUCGGAUCAUCAAAGUCGUCUCCACCAAAUCGAUAGUUAUCAUCUCAUCGAAAGAUCGGGACACCCUCGCCUCUAUCAGUUGUCGAACAUCUCGACAGACGGGACGUUAAGACCCGCGCCGCGGUUGAUGGGAGUCUUGGUGACUUGCACGUUGCUGAUGACGGGUGAACAGAGCAUUGGGGGAGCGCCAGCGGUGGCCGCGCACUUGAGCUGGUCUGCCGAGCUGAAGGUGAUGGCGCACUUGGACCACCUGAGCGGGCGUGUGACCUCGAGCUUGGGGAGGACUGCGUUCACCUCGCGAGCAAACUGCUUGAAGAUACGCUGUGAGGCUGGGGCUUGAGCUCCGCCCAAGAUGCAGGCGAUAGCACGCGGCUCCUGGAAGCCCCCAGUCCCCUCGUCUUGAUGGUGGUCGUUGUUCCUUCUUGGUGGUGGCGGCAUCGGAGGAAGACCGGUGUUGCCCUGAGGGCGAUCCUCAUGUGGCUGAUCCCUCCAGGCACCCUCGCGAGGUUGAUCUUGCCAGCGGUCCUCACGAGGCCGGUCACGCCACUCCUGGCAUGGGCCCCGGUCAUCCCAGCGUCCUCCACCACGUCCUCCUCGGCCGUAGCCUCAGUCGUUGCGCUCGGGGCGUCGACCGAAGCGUCCGUUGCGAAUGACCCUGAGCUCUUGACAGUCAUUGGUGUUGUGGCUGUGCACGUUGUGGAAGGCGCAGAACGGUCGGCUGCUCUUGGACGACUCAGGCUGGUCCCUGCCGCGCUUCAUGUCCGGCUCCGCCGCGAGCACGGUGACUCCCUUGUGCUUCACGUCCUUGGCCUUGGCUUUCUUCUCCUUCGGGUCGGCAGCGGGGAGCUCGAGGAGGGGAAGGCGUCCCUCCAUAGCUCUUGCGCACUUGGUCGCCAGGUUGAAUAGCUCCAGAGAUGUGCACAACUCCUCGUGGAUGGCGAUUUCCUCCUUCAUCUUGACGUCACGGACGCCAUCAGAGAACGCCGAGAUGAUGGCCUCAUCUGUCACCUUGGGGAUCUUGAGGCGAACGUUUUUGAAGCGCUGGAUGUACUUCUGGAGGGUCUCUCCUGGCUGCUGCUUGACGCGGCGCAGGUCACCCGUGGCCGGAGGGCGGUCGCGAGUGCCCUAAAAGUUGGCGACGAAGCGGUCACGCAUCUCGUUCCAGGAGGAGAUCGAGCCUGGAGGCAGGUUCAGGAGCCACGAGCGUGCGCCAUCCUUGAGAGCCAUGGGGAACCAGUUCACCAUGACUUUCUCGUCGCCGUUGGCCGCCUCGAUGCUGAGCUCAUAGAGCUGCAGGAACUUCGCGGGGUCGGGGGUGCCGUCGUAGCGCUGAGGCAGGUCUGGCUUGAACUUGCCCGGCCAUGCGACGCUACGCAGCUCAGGAGUGAAGGCGCGGCAGCCCGCGGUGGCCACCGAGACCCUUUGCUGAUGUGGAGCCCGGCCUUGAUGCCCGCACACCGCCACCGCAAGCGGCGCACGGUCUUGUCGUAGCAGUGCCGGGAGCGCAGGAGCGUUCUCCCGCGGCUGUGGGACUUCUUGGCAGCUUCUUUCUUCUCGCGCGGGCGCCGGACAUGGUGGGUCGCGCCGGGGGGGCGCGCGUCUUGGCGCCAGGGCGCCAUCUUGGGGCAGAGCUGGUGGAGGCGCUCCAUGAGCCACAUCACCUGCAGCUGGCGGAGGGCGAGGCAACGAGAGGGACGGCACAGGGGAGCCCCCUGCAGCACUGACAAGCUCGGCGAUGCGGUCGAGCCAGUCCUCGUAGAGGUCGUCGACGGGGCGGUAGCGCAGGAGCUCGCGCGCCAUGAGCAGCGCGGCCUGCGCGUCCGAGAGAGCGCGACGAGCGUGGGACGACGAACCGACCGGGGUCAGUGAUGGAGUGGCGGUGCGGCCGUCCCGCCGCACCGAGGGGUGCAGUGAGGAUGCUUGCUGCUCGUUCCCCACCGGGCCGGUGGCGGUGUUGGCGGCAGGCGACGGGGAACGACGGGGUGGCCCGCCGACAGGAGCCGUCUGAGCAACGCGGGCGGCGAGGGCGGCCCGGCGCUCUGCGCGAGCUCGGCGAGCAUCCGCCAUGGAGAUGACGAGGCGACGGAACGCGGAUCAACGGAAGGAGAGCUUUGGCGCACCCCUACCUGGCACGCCAAAUUUCGGAUUUCGGGUUCCGGUAAAACCCUCGAGGUUCGAACACUGGGGUGCGCACAAGAUUUCCCCCUACCAGAUCAAGCCCUCAGCCUCACCAGGAUCUCUAAGCUUAGCUCGUCAAACUCGCAACACAAGAGACACAAGAUUUAUACUAGUUCGGGCCACCGUUGUGGUGUAAUACCCAACUCAAGUGUGGUGUGGUGGAUUGCCUCUCGGGCUGAGGAUGAACAGUACAAGGGGAAGAACAGCCUCCUGAGGUGAGGUGUUCUUGUGCUUGGUGGGUGUGAGGAUGAACUGAAUGAGUUCGAGACGAGCUCCCGCUGAGUUGCCUCCUACUGUGGUGGCUAGUCCUAUUUAUAGAGGCCCUGCUCCUCUUCCCAAAUAUUGAGCGGGAAGGGAUGCCACAACGGCCAAUUUGAAAGGGGAUGCCGGCUUGGGCUCCACGAUGACCUCCGUCUUGCCGUCCCGCUGGUCUUGGUCUUGUUGCACCGAUAUGGAAACCUGAUAGAGGCAAAGGUGUCCCGUCUUUCGAUGAGAUGAUGGAUAUCGCUUUGAUGGAAGUCGACUUUGACGAUCCGACUACGAACGUGCGAGGACGUCGCGCCUUAGCAAUCGCUAAACCAACUCCGAGAGGUUAUUGACCACACCAGAGCACGAUCAACCUGACCACGAGGGUCUGUUUCCUGCGAGCAAACGAAGAACAAGCAAGAAACUGAGAUUGCAAUGCGGAUAUUGCGAAUAUAAGAUGAAAGCUUUAUUGAUCAAGGUGGGGUUCUGUGACGCCUUUGUCUGGUCGUUGAACACAAACGAAGUACGCGAGGUUGCAGCUAUGGGGAACUUUUAAUCUAAACAGAACCCAAAGCCUAAACGACGCCCUAAGGGCUGUAUAUAUGGAGGAAGAGGGGGGAAUUUCGUGGCCCUUGGGGAAGGGGUCCAAAACCAACCCUAUCUCUUGUUUCCCCACACAUACGGACUCUAAAAAUAGCCUAUACUCAAGUAUUUCGAAAUUACAUGGGCCUGGCCCAAUAAUAAGGUGACGCAGCACCUAAAAUAGCCUCUGGACGAAAGUUAUGAAGUAGCAUCUUGUAUAUUUCGUCCAAGGCUUCAUGCAUGCAUUAUGGUGGCUUCAACGUCCUGAAAUCAUCACUUGUAACUCCGUUCUUGUCCCCCAUGCGCAUGCCAUCAUCUCCAUGCUUGUUCUUGCUCCAAUGUUGAUCGUUCUCAAAGCUAGGCCCUUCAUUUGUAAGCAAAACAAAUGUAUCCAAUUUAGGCAGCAUCAUAUUCUCAUGAACAUUAGAAUCAUUACCAAGAAACGAAAGUACAUGGUAAUUUAAUUGGAGUGCGCGAGCUCUAGUAAUUGGUCCAGUAUGUAUAGCAGCAGGGGCUGUGGGUGUAACAAUGGUAUUGAUGUCCUCAUCAUCCUCCCCUUCUUGAAAUGAAGUCGUCCUCGACGGAAGCUCAUCUGCCUCACCCAAAUAAGGCUUCAAAUCUGCAAUGUUAAAAGUGGGACUAACCCCAAAAUCUGCAGGCAGCUCAAGUUUAUAUGCAUUAUCAUUUAUUUUCUCUAACACCUUAAAAGGACCAUCAGCACGUGGCAUUAGCUUUGAUUUGCGCAAAUCAGGAAAUCUAUCCUUACGCAAAUGUAACCAAACAAGAUCUCCAGGUGCAAACACAACAUGUUUUCUACCCUUAUCUCCAGCAAGUUUAUAUUUAGCAUUCAUACGCUCAAUGUUUUCCUUAGUUAACUCAUGCAUUUUAAGAUCAUUUCAGCACGUUGUUUAGCAUCAAAAUUAACCUUCUCCGAAGAUGGAAGAGGCAACAAAUCAAUAGGUGCACGAGGUAGGAAACCAUACACAAUUUCAAAAGGGCACAUCUUAGUAGUAGAAUGCAAUGAACGAUUAUAAGCAAACUCAAUAUGAGGCAAGCAUUCUUCCCACAUUUUCUUAUUAUUCUUCAAAACAGCCCUAAGCAUAGUAGACAAUGUUCUAUUGACUUCUUCAGUUUGUCCAUCAGUUUGGGGGUGACAAGUAGUACUAAAAAGCAGUUUAGUCCCCAACUUAGCCCAUAAACAUCUCCAAAAGUGGCUAAGAAAUUUAGUAUCAUGAUCAGAAACAAUAGUAUUUGGCACACCAUGCAAACGAAUAAUUUCACGGAAGAACAAAUCAGCAACAUUAACAACAUCAUCGCUUUUAUGCCUUGGUAUAAAGUGUGCCAUUUUUUAGAAUCUAUCCACGACAGCAAAUAUGCUAUCCCUCCUCUUCUUUGUUCGACGUAAACCUAAAACAAAGUCCAUAGAUAUAUCCUCCCAAGGAACACUAGGUACAGGCAAAGGCAUAUAUAAACCAUGAGGAUUGAGUCGUGACUUAGCUUUUUGACAUGUAGUGCAGCGAGCAACAAAACGCUCAACAUCCCGUCUCAUCUUUGGCCAAAAGAAAUGUGUAGCAAGUACGUCCUCCGUCUUCUUCACGCCAAAGUGUCCCAUUAAUCCUCCUCCAUGCGCCUCCUGCAACAACAAAAGACGAAGAGAGCUAGAUGGAAUGCAUAGCUUGUUAGCACGGAACACAAAUCCAUCAUUAACGACAAACUUGUUCCAGGUUCUUCCUUCUUUACAAUUCUGCAAAACAUCUUUAAAAUCAGCAUCAUGCACAUAUUGAUCUUUGAUGGUCUCCAAACCAAAUAUUUUGAAGUCAAGUUGUGAAAGCAUAGUAUAGCGACGAGACAAUGCAUCAGCAAUAACAUUUUCUUUACCCUUCUUGUGUUUAAUGACAUAAGGGAAAGUUUCAAUGAAUUCAACCCAUUUAGCAUGUCUACGGUUCAGUUUAGCUUGACUUUUAAUAUGUUUCAAAGAUUCAUGAUCAGAAUGUAUAACAAAUUCUUUGGGCCAUAAAUAAUGUUGCCAUGUUUCUAAAGUCCGAACAAGAGCAUAUAGUUCUUAUCAUAAGUAGAAUAAUUCAGACUAGGCCCACUCAAUUUUUCAGAAAAGUAUGCAACAGGUUUACCAUCUUGUAAUAACACACCUCCUAAUCCAAUUCCACUAGCAUCACAUUCAAGCUCAAAAGUCUUAUUAAAAUCAGGAAGUUGGAGUAAAGGAGCAUGUGUAACCUUUUCUUUCAAUACCGUGAAGGCUUCUUCCUGUGCGGUACCCCAAACAAAAGGCACAUCCUUCUUUGUAAGCUCGUUGAGAGGUGCAGCAAUGGUGCUAAAAUCUCUCACAAAACACCUAUAGAAACCAGCGAGUCCAAGAAAACUCCGCACUUGUGUGACCGUUUUGGGCUGCGGCCAACUCUCAAUAGCUUCAAUCUUGGCUUUAUCAACUUCAAUUCCCUGUGGAGUAACAACAUAGCCAAGAAAAGAUACUCGGUCGGUGCAAAAGGCGCACUUCCCAAGGUUACCAAACAAACGUGCAUCACGUAGAGCAAUAAAAACAGCACGUAAAUGUUCCAAAGAUUUGCUAUAAAUCAGUAUAUCAUCAAAAUAGACUACCACAAAUCGUCCAAUGAAAGCACGUAAAACUUCGUUCAUUAGUCUCAUGAAAGUACUAGGUGCAUUAGUUAACCCGAAAGGCAUGACUAACCACUCAUAUAAACCAAACUUAGUUUUAAAUGCAGUUUUCCAUUCAUCUCCCAAUUUCAUACGAAUUUGAUGGUAUCCACUACGCAAAUCAACUUUGGAGAAUAUUGUAGAGCCACUCAAUUCAUCAAGCAUAUCAUCUAGCCUAGGAAUAGGAUGACGAUAACGAAUAGUAAUAUUAUUAAUGCCUCUACAAUCAACACAUAUACGCGACGUACCAUCCUUUUUAGGCACUAGUAUAAUAGGAACAGCACAAGGACUAAGAGAUUCGCGUAUAUAACCUUUGUCGAGCAGCUCCUGUACUUGAUGCAUAAUCUCCUUCGUCUCCUCUGGAUUGGUACGGUAAGGUGCACGGUUGGGUAGCGAUGCACCGGGAAUUAAGUCAAUUUGAUGCUCAAUCCCUCGAAUAGGUGGUAAUCCCGGUGGCACGUCUUGUGGAAUGACGUCAGCGAACUCCUGCAAAAUGUUAGUGACAGCAGGGGGCAAAGAGGAAGGCACGUCCUCGACUAAAAAUAAUGCCUCUUUGCACACAAAAGCAUAGCAAACAGAUUUGCUGAAAUCUAGCUCAUCAAUAUCAGAUUUUGUGGCAAUUAACAUGCACUUUUCUAUUUAAUUUCAGAAACAACACUAGAUGGUUUAUUAUUAGGUUUUAUUUGUUGCUCAAAUUCUUUUGCCACAAUCUGAUUUUCACUUCUCCUGUUUUGCUUUAUUAGCUCUAUUAAUGUCAUCUUUCAAAAUGGAAUCAGGAGUCAUAGGAAGCAAAGUAAUAUUUUUAUCCUUAUGAACAAGAGUAUACUGAUUGUUUCUACCAUGGUGUACAGAAUUUUUAUCAAAUUGCCAUGGUCUACCAAGUAAUAAGGAACAUGCUUGCAUGGGUACCACAUCACAAUCAACAUAAUCAGCAUAUGUAGAGAUACUAAAAUGCACACGAACAGUACGUGUUACCUUAACCUUACCGCUGUUGUUGAACCAUUGGAUGUAGUAAGGAUGUGGAUGUGGUCUUGUGGUGAGAGAUAGCUUCUCCACCAUCUCCAUGCUAGCCAAGUUGUUACAGCUCCCUCCAUCUAUGAUGACGCGAACAGAACGUUCCUUCACAACUCCCUUUGUAUGGAACAAAUUAUGCCUCUGAUUUUGCUCUGCUUGUGUGACCUGCACACUCGAAACACGUUGAUAGAGGCAAAGGUGUCCCGUCUUUUGAUGAGAUGAUGGAUAUCGCUUUGGUGGAAGUUGACUUUGACGAUCCGACUACGAACGUGCGAUGACGUCGCGCCUUAGCAAUCGCUAAACCAACUCCGAGAGGUUAUUGACCACGCCGGAGCACGAUCAAACUGACCACGAGGGUCUGUUUCCUGCGAGCAAACGAAGAACAAGCAAGAAACCGAGAUUGCAAUCUGGAUAUUGCGAAUAUAAGAUGAAAGCUUUAUUGAUCAAGGUGGGGUUCUGUGACGCCUUUGUCUGGUCGUUGAACACAAACGAAGUACGCGAAGUUGCAGCAAUGGCGAACUUUUAAUCUAAACAAAACCCAAAGUCUAAACGAUGCCCUAAGGGCUGUAUAUAUGGAGGAAGACGGAGAAAUUUCGUGGCCCUUGGGGAAGGGGUCCGAAACCAACCCUAUCUCUUGUUUCCCCACACAUACGGACUCUAAAAAUAGCCUAUACUCAAGUAUUUCGAAAUUACAUGGGCCUGGCCCAAUAAUAAGGUGACGCAGCACCUACAAUAGCCUCUGGACGAAAGUUAUGAAGUAGCAUCUUGUAUAUUGCGUCCAAGGCUUCAUGCACGCAUUAUGGUGGCUUCAAUGUCCUGAAAUCAUCACUUGUAACUCCGUUCUUGUCCCCCAUGCGCAUGGCAUCAUCUCCAUGCUUGUUCUUGCUCCAAUGUUGAUCCUUCUCAAAGCUAGGCCCUUCAUUUCUAAGCAAAACAAAUGUAUCCAAUUUAGGCAGCAUCAUAUUCUCAUGAACAUUAGAAUCAUUACCAAGAAACGAAAGUACCUGGUAAUUUAAUUGGCGUGCGCGAGCUCUAGUAAUUGGUCCAGUAUGUAUAGCAGCAGGGGCUGUGGGUGUAACAAUGGUAUUGAUGUCCUCAUCAUCCUCCCCUUCUUGAAAUGAAUCGUCCUCGACGGAAGCUCAUCUCCCUCACCCAAAUAAGGCUUCAAAUCUGCAAUGUUAAAAGUGGGACUAACCCCAAAAUCUGCAGGCAGCUCAAGUUUAUAUGCAUUAUCAUUUAUUUUCUCUAACACCUUAAAAGGACCAUCAGCACGUGGCAUUAGCUUUGAUUUGCGCAAAUCAGAAAAUCUAUCUUUACGCAAAUUUAACCAAACAAGAUCUCCAGGUGCAAACACAACAUGUUUUCUACCCUUAUCUCCAGCAAGUUUAUAUUUAGCAUUCAUACGCUCAAUGUUUUCCUUAGUUAACUCAUGCAUUUUUAAGAUCAAUUCAGCAUGUUGUUUAGCAUCAAAAUUAACCUUCUCCGAAGAUGGAAGAGGCAACAAAUCAAUAGGUGCACGAGGUAGGAAACGAUACACACUUUCAAAAGGGCACAUCUUAGUAGUAGAAUGCAAUGAACGAUUAUAAGCAAACUCAAUAUGAGGCAAGCAUUCUUCCCACAUUUUCUUAUUAUUCUUCAAAACAGCCCUAAGCAUAGUAGACAAUGUUCUAUUGACUACUUCAGUUUGUCCAUCAGUUUGGGGGUGACAAGUAGUACUAGAAAGCAGUUUAGUCCCCAACUUAGCCCAUAAACAUCUCCAAAAGUGGCUAAGAAAUUUAGUAUCACGAUCUGAAACAAUAGUAUUUGGCACACCAUGCAAACGAAUAAUUUCACGGAAGAACAAAUCAGCAACAUUAACAGCAUCAUCGCUUUUAUGACAUGGUAUAAAGUGUGCCAUUUUUGAGAAUCUGUCCACGACAACAAAUAUGCUAUCCCUCCCCUUCUUUGUUCGAGGUAAACCUAAAACAAAGUCCAUAGAUAUAUCCUCCCAAGGAACACUAGGUACAGGCAAAGGCAUAUAUAAACCAUGAGGAACUUAGCUUUUUGACAUGUAGUGCAGCGAGCAACAAAACGCUCAACAUCCCGUCUCAUCUUUGGCCAAAAGAAAUGUGUAGAAAGUAUGUCCUCCGUCUUCUUCACGCAAAAGUGUCCCAUUAAUCCUCCUCCAUGCGCCUCCUGAUAGAGGCAAAGGUGUCCCGUCUUUCGAUGAGAUGAUGAAUAUCGCUUUGAUGGAAGUCUACUUUGACGAUCCGACUACGAACGUGCGAGGACGUCGCGCCUUAGCAAUCGCUAAACCAACUCCGAGAGGUUAUCGACCACGCCGGAGCACGAUCAACCUGACCACGAGGGUCUGUUUCCUGCGAGCAAACGAAGAACAGGCAAGAAACUGAGAUUGCAAUCUGGAUAUUGCGAAUAUAAGAUGAAAGCUUUAUUGAUCAAGGUGGGGUUCUGUGACGCCUUUGUCUGGUCGCUGAACACAAACGAAGUACGCGAAGUUGCAGCUAUGGCGAACUUUUAAUCUAAACAAAACCCAAAGUCUAAACGACGCCCUAAGGGCUGUAUAUAUGGAGGAAGAGGGGGGGAAUUUCGUGGCCCUUGAGGAAAGGGUCCGAAACCAACCCUAUCUCUUGUUUCCCCACACAUACGGACUCUAAAAACAGCCUAUACUUAUGUAUUUCGAAAUUACAUGGGCCUGGCCCAAUAAUAAGGUGACGCAGCACCUAGAAUAGCCUCUGGACGAAAGUUAUGAAGUAGCAUCUUGUAUAUUUCGUCCAAGGCUUCAUGCACGCAUUAUGGUGGCUUCAACGUCCUGAAAUCAUCACUUGUAACUCCGUUCUUGUUCCCCAUGCGCAUGCCAUCAUCUCCAUGCUUGUUCUUGCUCCAAUGUUCAUCCUUCUCAAAGCUAGGCCCUUCAUUUGUAAGCAAAACAAAUGUAUCCAAUUUAGGCAGCAUCAUAUUCUCAUGAACAUUAGAAUCAUUAGCAAGAAAUGAAAGUACCUGGUAAUUUAAUUGGCGUGCGCGAGCUCUAGUAAUUGGUCCAGUAUGUAUAGCAGCAGGGACUGUGGGUGUAAUAAUUGUAUUGAUGUCCUCAUCAUCCUCCCCUUCUUGAAAUGAAGUCGUCCUCGACGGAAGCUCAUCUUCCUCACCCAAAUAAGGCUUCAAAUCUGCAAUAUUAAAAGUGGGACUAACCCCAAAAUCUGCAGGCAGCUCAAGUUUAUAUGCAUUAUCAUUUAUUUUCUCUAACACCUUAAAAGGACCAUCAGCACGUGGCAUUAGCUUUGAUUUGCGCAAAUCAGGAAAUCUAUCCUUACGCAAAUGUAACCAAACAAGAUCUCCAGGUGCAAACACAACAUGUUUUCUACCCUUAUCUCCAGCAAGUUUAUAUUUAGCAUUCAUACGCUCAAUGUUUUCCUUAGUUAACUCAUGCAUUUUUAAGAUCAAUUCAGCACGUUGUUUAGCAUCAAAAUUAACCUUCUCCGAAGAUGGAAGAGGCAACAAAUCAAUAGGUGCACGAGGUAGAAAACCAUACACAAUUUCAAAAGGGCACAUCUUAGUAGUAGAAUGCAAUGAACGAUUAUAAGCAAACUCAAUAUGAGGCAAGCAUUCUUCCCACAUUUUCUUAUUAUUCUUCAAAACAGCCCUAAGCAUAGUAGACAAUGUUCUAUUGACUACUUCAGUUUGUCCAUCAGUUUGGGGGUGACAAGUAGUACUAAAAAGCAGUUUAGUCCCCAACUUAGCCCAUAAACAUCUCCAAAAGUGGCUAAGAAAUUUAGUAUCACGAUCUGAAACAAUAGUAUUUGGCACACCAUGCAAGCGAAUAAUUUCACGAAAGAACAAAUCAGCAACAUUAACAGCAUCAUCGCUUUUAUGACAUGGUAUAAAGUGGGCCAUUUUCGAGAAUCUAUCCACGACAACAAAUAUGCUAUCCCUCCCCUUCUUUGUUCGAGGUAAACCUAAAACAAAGUCCAUAGAUAUAUCCUCCCAAGGAACACUAGGUACAGGCAAAGGCAUAUAUAAACCAUGAGGAUUGAGUCGUGACUUAGCUUUUUGACAUGUAGUGCAGCGAGCAACAAAACGCUCAACAUCCCGUCUCAUCUUUGGCCAAAAGAAAUGUGUAGCAAGUACGUCCUCCGUCUUCUUCACGCCAAAGUGUCCCAUUAAUCCUCCUCCAUGCGCCUCCUGCAACAACAAAAGACGAAGAGAGCUAGCUGGAAUGCAUAGCUUGUUAGCACGGAACACAAAUCCAUCAUUAACGACAAACUUGUUCCAGGUUCUUCCUUCUUGACAAUUCUGCAAUACAUCUUUAAAAUCAGCAUCAUGCACAUAUUGAUCUUUGAUGGUCUCCAAACCAAAUAUUUUGAAGUCAAGUUGUGAAAGCAUAGUAUAGCGACGAGACAAUGCAUCAGCAAUAACAUUUUCUUUACCCUUCUUGUGUUUAAUGACAUAAGGGAAAGUUUCAAUGAAUUCAACCCAUUUAGCAUGUCUACGAUUCAGUUUAGCUUGACUUUUAAUAUGUUUCAAAGAUUCAUGAUCAGAAUGUAUAACAAAUUCUUUGGGCCAUAAAUAAUGUUGCCAUGUUUCUAAAGUCCGAACAAGAGCAUAUAGUUCUUUAUCAUAAGUAGAAUAAUUCAGACUAGGCCCACUCAAUUUUUCAGAAAAGUAUGCAACAGGUUUACCAUCUUGUAAUAACGCACCUCCUAAUCCAAUUCCACUAGCAUCACAUUCAAGCUCAAAAGUCUUAUUAAAAUCAGGAAGUUGGAGUAAAGGAGCAUGUGUCAACUUAUCUUUCAAGACCGUGAAGGCUUCUUCCUGUGCGGUACCCCAAACAAAAGGCACAGCCUUCUUUGUAAGCUCGUUGAGAGGUGCAGCAAUGGUGCUAAAAUCUCUCACAAAACGCCUAUAGAAACCAGCGAGUCCAAGAAAACUCCGCACUUGUGUGACCGUUUUGGGCUGCGGCCAACUCUCAAUAGCUUCAAUCUUGGCUUUAUCAACUUCAAUUCCCUGUGGAGUAACAACAUAGCCAAGAAAAGAUACUCGGUCGGUGCAAAAGGUGCACUUCCCAAGGUUACCAAACAAACGUGCAUCACGUAGAGCAAUAAAAACAGCACGUAAAUGUUCCAAAUGUUCUUCCAAAGAUUUGCUAUAAAUCAGUAUAUCAUCAAAAUAGACCACCACAAAUCGUCCAAUGAAAGCACGUAAAACUUUGUUCAUUAGUCUCAUGAAAGUACUAGGUGCAUUAGUUAACCCAAAAGGCAUGACUAACCACUCAUAUAAACCAAACUUAGUUUUAAAUGCAGUUUUCCAUUCAUCUCCCAAUUUCAUACGAAUUUGAUGGUAUCCACUACGCAAAUCAACUUUGGAGAAUAUUGUAGAGCCACUCAAUUCAUCAAGCAUAUCAUCGAGCCUAGGAAUAGGAUGACGAUAACGAAUAGUAAUAUUAUUAAUGCCUCUACAAUCAACACACAUACGCGACGUACCAUCCUUUUUAGGCACGAGUAUAAUAGGAACAGCACAAGGACUAAGAGAUUCGCGUAUAUAACCUUUGUCGAGCAGCUCCUGUACUUGACGCAUAAUCUCCUUCGUCUCCUCUGGAUUGGUACGGUAUGGUGCACGGUUGGGUAGCGAUGCACCGGGAAUUAAGUCAAUUUGAUGCUCAAUCCCGCGAAUAGGUGGUAAUCCCGGUGGCACGUCUUGUGGGAAGACGUCAGCGAACUCCUGCAAAAUGUGAGUGACAGCAGGGGGCAAAGAGGAAGGCACGUCCUCGAAUGAAAAUAAUGCCUCUUUGCACACAAAAGCAUAGCAAACAGAUUGGCUGAAAUCUAGUUCAUCAAUAUCAGAUUUUGUGGCAAGUAAACAUGCACUUUUCAAUUUAAUUUCAGAAACAACACUAGAUGGUUUAUUAUUAGGUUUCAUUUGUUGCUCAAAUUCCUUUGCCACAAUCUGAUUUUCACUCUUAUUUUUCUCCUGUUUUGCUUUAUUAGCUCUAUUAAUGUCAUCUUUCAAAAUGGAAUCAGGAGUCAUAGGAAGCAAAGUAAUAUUUUUAUCCUUAUGAACAAGAGUAUACUGAUUGUUUCUACCAUGGUGUACAGAAUUUUUUUCAAAUUGCCAUGGUCUACCUAGUAAUAAGGAACAUGCUUGCAUAGGUACCACAUCACAAUCAACAUAAUCAGCAUAUGUAGAGAUACUAAAAUGCACACGAACAGUAUGUGUUACCUUAACCUUGCCGCUGUUGUUGAACCAUUGGAUGUAGUAAGGAUGUGGAUGUGGUCUUGUGGUGAGAGAUAGCUUCUCCACCAUCUCCAUGCUAGCCAAGUUGUUACAGCUCCCUCCAUCUAUGAUGACGCGAACAGAACGUUCCUUCACAACUCCCUUUGUAUGGAACAAAUUAUGCCUCUGAUUUUGCUCUGCUUGUGUGACCUGCACACUCAAAACACGUUGAGCAACUAAGCAUUCAUACCUGUCAGCGUCUUCAGGAGCCAUGUAUUGCGUCUCAUUUUCAGAAUCAUCUCCACCAUGUUCUUCACGUGUAAUAAGAGCCAAAGUCUCCUCAUCAUAGUCACUAGCGGACUCAUACCCACCAUCCUCAGUAGCAAUCAUGACACGCUGAGAUUUGCAUUCUCUCGCAAAAUGUCCUCUUCCCUUACAACGACGACAAAUAAUAUCACUUGUGUGCCCUGUCGAUGCCAUGGAAGAAGAAGAGCUCUGCACAGGCCCGGCAGGUGUGCUCUUGGCAGAGAGUGGUGGUUGUGCCUGCUUUCUUGUAUCACGGCUGGAGGUGGCACCUGAUGGAGGUGAUGGUGAAGUGGAAAUAGAAGAUGCACGCGGUGUCCAUGAUGAAGGUCGACCUGUAGAAAAGUUAGUUCGCGCCAAUGGCUGUCGAUCCUGCACUUCACGUUCAGCUUUACAAGCAAGAUGGAAUAAACNNNNNNNNNNNNNNNNNNNNNNNNNNNNNNNNNNNNNNNNNNNNNNNNNNNNNNNNNNNNNNNNNNNNNNNNNNNNNNNNNNNNNNNNNNNNNNNNNNNNAGCUGCUCGACAAAGGUUAUAUACGCGAAUCUCUUAGUCCUUGUGCUGUUCCUAUUAUACUCGUGCCUAAAAAGGAUGGUACGUCGCGUAUGUGUGUUGAUUGUAGAGGCAUUAAUAAUAUUACUAUUCGUUAUCGUCAUCCUAUUCCUAGGCUCGAUGAUAUGCUUGAUGAAUUGAGUGGCUCUACAAUAUUCUCCAAAGUUGAUUUGCGUAGUGGAUACCAUCAAAUUCGUAUGAAAUUGGGAGAUGAAUGGAAAACUGCAUUUAAAACUAAGUUUGGUUUAUAUGAGUGGUUAGUCAUGCCUUUUGGGUUAACUAAUGCACCUAGUACUUUCAUGAGACUAAUGAACGAAGUUUUACGUGCUUUCAUUGGACGAUUUGUGGUGGUCUAUUUUGAUGAUAUACUGAUUUAUAGCAAAUCUUUGGAAGAACAUUUGGAACAUUUACGUGCUGUUUUUAUUGCUCUAUGUGAUGCACGUUUGUUUGGUAACCUUGGGAAGUGCACCUUUUGCACCGACCGAGUAUCUUUUCUUGGCUAUGUUGUUACUCCACAGGGAAUUGAAGUUGAUAAAGCCAAGAUUGAAGCUAUUGAGAGUUGGCCGCCGCCCAAAACGGUCACACAAGUGCGGAGUUUUCUUGGACUCGCUGGUUUCUAUAGGCGUUUUGUGAGAGAUUUUAGCACCAUUGCUGCACCUCUCAACGAGCUUACAAAGAAGGAUGUGCCUUUUGUCUGGGGUACCGCACAGGAAGAAGCCUUCACGGUAUUGAAAGAUAAGUUGACACAUGCUCCUUUACUCCAACUUCCUGAUUUUAAUAAGACUUUUGAGCUUGAAUGUGAUGCUAGUGGCAUUGGAUUAGGAGGUGUGUUAUUACAAGAUGGCAAACCUGUUGCAUACUUUUCUGAAAAAUUGAGUGGGCCUAGUCUGAAUUAUUCUACUUAUGAUAAAGAACUAUAUGCUCUUGUUCGGACUUUAGAAACAUGGCAACAUUAUUUAUGGCCCAAAGAAUUUGUUAUACAUUCUGAUCAUGAAUCUUUGAAACAUAUUAAAAGUCAAGCUAAACUGAAUCGUAGACAUGCUAAAUGGGUUGAAUUCAUUGAAACUUUCCCUUAUGUCAUUAAACACAAGAAGGGUAAAGAAAAAGUUAUUGCUGAUGCAUUGUCUCGUCGCUAUACUAUGCUUUCACAACUUGACUUCAAAAUAUUUGGUUUGGAGACCAUCAAAGAUCAAUAUGUGCAUGAUGCUGAUUUUAAAGAUGUAUUGCAGAAUUGUAAAGAAGGAAGAACCUGGAACAAGUUUGUCGUUAAUGAUGGAUUUGUGUUCCGUGCUAACAAGCUAUGCAUUCCAGCUAGCUCUCUUCGUCUUUUGUUGUUGCAGGAGGCGCAUGGAGGAGGAUUAAUGGGACACUUUGGCGUGAAGAAGACGGAGGACGUACUUGCUACACAUUUCUUUUGGCCAAAGAUGAGACGGGAUGUUGAGCGUUUUGUUGCUCGCUGCACUACAUGUCAAAAAGCUAAGUCACGACUCAAUCCUCAUGGUUUAUAUAUGCCUUUGCCUGUACCUAGUGUUCCUUGGGAGGAUAUAUCUAUGGACUUUGUUUUAGGUUUACCUCGAACAAAGAAGGGGAGGGAUAGCAUAUUUGUUGUCGUGGAUAGAUUCUCGAAAAUGGCGCAUUUUAUACCAUGUCAUAAAAGCGAUGAUGCUGUUAAUGUUGCUGAUUUGUUCUUUCGUGAAAUUAUUCGCUUGCAUGGUGUGCCAAAUACUAUUGUUUCAGAUCGUGAUACUAAAUUUCUUAGCCACUUUUGGAGAUGUUUAUGGGCUAAGUUGGGGACUAAACUGCUUUUUAGUACUACUUGUCACCCCCAAACUGAUGGACAAACUGAAGUAGUCAAUAGAACAUUGUCUACUAUGCUUAGGGCUGUUUUGAAGAAUAAUAAGAAAAUGUGGGAAGACUGCUUGCCUCAUAUUGAGUUUGCUUAUAAUCGUUCAUUGCAUUCUACUACUAAGAUGUGCCCUUUUGAAAUUGUGUAUGGUUUCCUACCUCGUGCACCUAUUGAUUUGUUGCCUCUUCCAUCUUCGGAGAAGGUUAAUUUUGAUGCUAAACAACGUGCUGAAUUGAUCUUAAAAAUGCAUGAGUUAACUAAGGAAAACAUUGAGCGUAUGAAUGCUAAAUAUAAACUUGCUGCAGAUAAGGGUAGAAAACAUGUUGUGUUUGCACCUGGAGAUCUUGUUUGGUUACAUUUGCGUAAGGAUAGAUUUCCUGAUUUGCGCAAAUCAAAGCUAAUGCCACGUGCUGAUGGUCCUUUUAAGGUGUUAGAGAAAAUAAAUGAUAAUGCAUAUAAACUUGAGCUGCCUGCAGAUUUUGGGGUUAGUCCCACUUUUAAUAUUGCAGAUUUGAAGCCUUAUUUGGGUGAGGAAGAUGAGCUUCCGUCGAGGACGACUUCAUUUCAAGAAGGGGAGGAUGAUGAGGACAUCAAUACAAUUAUUACACCCACAGUCCCUGCUGCUAUACAUACUGGACCAAUUACUAGAGCUCGCGCACGCCAAUUAAAUUACCAGGUACUUUCGUUUCUUGCUAAUGAUUCUAAUGUUCAUGAGAAUAUGAUGCUGCCUAAAUUGGAUACAUUUGUUUUGCUUACAAAUGAAGGGCCUAGCUUUGAGAAGGAUGGACAUUGGAGCAAGAACAAGCAUGGAGAUGAUGGCAUGCGCAUGGGGAACAAGAACGGAGUUACAAGUGAUGAUUUCAGGACGUUGAAGCCACCAUAAUGCGUGCAUGAAGCCUUGGACGAAAUAUACAAGAUGCUACUUCAUAACUUUCGUCCAGAGGCUAUUCUAGGUGCUGCGUCACCUUAUUAUUGGGCCAGGCCCAUGUAAUUUCGAAAUACAUAAGUAUAGGCUGUUUUUAGAGUCCGUAUGUGUGGGGAAACAAGAGAUAGGGUUGGUUUCGGACCCCUUCCUCAAGGGCCACGAAGUUCCCCCCCCCCCUCUUCCUCCAUAUAUACAGCCCUUAGGGCGUCGUUUAGACUUUGGGUUUUGUUUAGAUUAAAAGUUCGCCAUAGCUGCAACUUCGCGUACUUCGUUUGUGUUCAGCGACCAGACAAAGGCGUCACAGAACCCCACCUUGAUCAAUAAAGCUUUCAUCUUAUAUUCGCAAUAUCCAGAUUGCAAUCUCAGUUUCUUGCCUGUUCUUCGUUUGCUCGCAGGAAACAGACCCUCGUGGUCAGGUUGAUCGUGCUCCGGCGUGGUCGAUACCCUCUCGGAGUUGGUUUAGCGAUUGCUAAGGCGCGACGUCCUCGCACGUUCGUAGUCGGAUCGUCAAAGUCGACUUCCAUCAAAGCGAUAUUCAUCAUCUCAUCGAAAGACGGGACACCUUUGCCUCUAUCAAGUGGUAUCAGAUUUCCAGGUUGCUCGGUGAGAUUUUACAGUUUUUCGUAGUUUAGAUCGAGUCUGUUCUUCAUACCUACAGUCCACGAAAAAGCCACAAAAAAAAAUUAGGGUUAGUUCCUCAUAUCCGAACCAAUCUGAGCCUUUGCAUAAUCUUUUUAGGGUUUUUGCUUUGUUGAAUUUGCGGUUGCAUCGUCGUGUCAAGUUGCUGGUCUUAGAGUCUAGUCUUUUAGAGUUUCGAGUUCUGGUCAUAAGUUGUCACGCCGCCGCCGCACCAUCAUCAUCGCCUUGCCAUCUACCACCAUUGCUUAUCCGCCACCGCUUUGAAUCCGUAUCCAUAUACCACCACCGCUGCCAUAUACUACCGCCAUAUAUCCACCACCAAUCUGAUAGAGGCAAAGGUGUCCCGUCUUUCGAUGAGAUGAUGAAUAUCGCUUUGAUGGAAGUCGACUUUGACGAUCCGACUACGAACGUGCGAGGACGUCGCGCCUUAGCAAUCGCUAAACCAACUCCGAGAGGUUAUCGACCACGCCGGAGCACGAUCAACCUGACCACGAGGGUCUGUUUCCUGCGAGCAAACGAAGAACAGGCAAGAAACUGAGAUUGCAAUCUGGAUAUUGCGAAUAUAAGAUGAAAGCUUUAUUGAUCAAGGUGGGGUUCUGUGACGCCUUUGUCUGGUCGCUGAACACAAACGAAGUACGCGAAGUUGCAGCUAUGGCGAACUUUUAAUCUAAACAAAACCCAAAGUCUAAACGACGCCCUAAGGGCUGUAUAUAUGGAGGAAGAGGGGGGGGAACUUCGUGGCCCUUGAGGAAGGGGUCCGAAACCAACCCUAUCUCUUGUUUCCCCACACAUACGGACUCUAAAAACACCCUAUACUUAUGUAUUUCGAAAUUACAUGGGCCUGGCCCAAUAAUAAGGUGACGCAGCACCUAGAAUAGCCUCUGGACGAAAGUUAUGAAGUAGCAUCUUGUAUAUUUCGUCCAAGGCUUCAUGCACGCAUUAUGGUGGCUUCAACGUCCUGAAAUCAUCACUUGUAACUCCGUUCUUGUUCCCCAUGCGCAUGCCAUCAUCUCCAUGCUUGUUCUUGCUCCAAUGUUCAUCCUUCUCAAAGCUAGGCCCUUCAUUUGUAAGCAAAACAAAUGUAUCCAAUUUAGGCAGCAUCAUAUUCUCAUGAACAUUAGAAUCAUUAGCAAGAAACGAAAGUACCUGGUAAUUUAAUUGGCGUGCGCGAGCUCUAGUAAUUGGUCCAGUAUGUAUAGCAGCAGGGACUGUGGGUGUAAUAAUUGUAUUGAUGUCCUCAUCAAUUACUAUUCGUUAUCGUCAUCCUAUUCCUCGGCUAGAUGAUAUGCUUGAUGAAUUGAGUGGCUCUACAAUAUUCUUCAAAGUUGAUUUGCGUAGUGGAUACCAUCAAAUUCGUAUGAAAUUGGGAGAUGAAUGGAAAACUGCAUUUAAAACUAAGUUUGGUUUAUAUGAGUGGUUAGUCAUGCCUUUUGGGUUAACUAAUGCACCUAGUACUUUCAUGAGACUAAUGAACGAAGUUUUACGUGCUUUCAUUGGACGAUUUGUGGUAGUCUAUUUUGAUGAUAUACUGAUUUAUAGCAAAUCUUUGGAAGAACAUUUGGAACAUUUACGUGCUGUUUUUAUUGCUCUACGUGAUGCACGUUUGUUUGGUAACCUUGGGAAGUGCACCUUUUGCACUGACCGAGUAUCUUUUCUUGGCUAUGUUGUUACUCCACAGGGAAUGGAAGUUGAUAAAGCCAAGAUUGAAGCUAUUGAGAGUUGGCCGCAGCCCAAAACAGUCACACAAGUGCGGAGUUUUCUUGGACUCGCUGGUUUCUAUAGGCGUUUUGUGAGAGAUUUUAGCACCAUUGCUGCACCUCUCAACGAGCUUACAAAGAAGGAUGUGCCUUUUGUUUGGGGUACCGCACAGGAAGAAGCCUUCACGGUAUUGAAAGAUAAGUUGACACAUGCUCCUUUACUCCAACUUCCUGAUUUUAAUAAGACUUUUGAGCUUGAAUGUGAUGCUAGUGGAAUUGGAUUAGGAGGUGUGUUAUUACAAGAUGGCAAACCUAUUGCAUACUUUUCUGAAAAAUUGAGUGGGCCUAGUCUGAAUUAUUCUACUUAUGAUAAAGAACUAUAUGCUCUUGUUCGGACUUUAGAAACAUGGCAACAUUAUUUAUGGCCCAAAGAAUUUGUUAUACAUUUUUUCGAGACCUACUCAGGCAAGGAAACACGAAACGGAAAAUAUAUGGAUCUCUAAAACAAACCGACUAUGAAAAGAACUCGGAUUGGUGGUGGAUAUAUGGCGGUAGUAUAUGGCAGCGGUGGUGGUAUAUGGAUACGGAUUCAAAGCGGUGGCGGAUAAGCAAUGGUGGUAGAUGGCAAGGCGAUGAUGAUGGUGCGGCGGCGGCGUGACAACUUAUGACCAGAACUCGAAACUCUAAAAGACUAGACUCUAAGACCAGCAACUUGACACGACGAUGCAACCGCAAAUUCAACAAAGCAAAAACCCUAAAAAGAUUAUGCAAAGGCUCAGAUUGGUUCGGAUAUGAUGAACUAACCCUAAUUUUUUUUUGUGGCUUUUUCGUGGACUGUAGGUAUGAAGAACAGACUCGAUCUAAACUACGAAAAACUGUAAAAUCUCACCGAGCAACCUGGAAAUCUGAUACCACUUGAUAGAGGCAAAGGUGUCCCGUCUUUCGAUGAGAUGAUGAAUAUCGCUUUGAUGGAAGUCGACUUUGACGAUCCGACUACGAACGUGCGAGGACGUCGCGCCUUAGCAAUCGCUAAACCAACGCCGAGAGGUUAUCGACCACGCCGGAGCACGAUCAACCUGACCACGAGGGUCUGUUUCCUGCGAGCAAACGAAGAACAGGCAAGAAACUGAGAUUGCAAUCUGGAUAUUGCGAAUAUAAGAUGAAAGCUUUAUUGAUCAAGGUGGGGUUCUGUGACGCCUUUGUCUGGUCGCUGAACACAAACGAAGUACGCGAAGUUGCAGCUAUGGCGAACUUUUAAUCUAAACAAAACCCAAAGUCUAAACGACGCCCUAAGGGCUGUAUAUAUGGAGGAAGAGGGGGGGAAUUUCGUGGCCCUUGAGGAAGGGGUCCGAAACCAACCCUAUCUCUUGUUUCCCCACACAUACGGACUCUAAAAACAGCCUAUACUUAUGUAUUUCGAAAUUACAUGGGCCUGGCCCAAUAAUAAGGUGACUCAGCACCUAGAAUAGCCUCUGGACGAAAGUUAUGAAGUAGCAUCUUGUAUAUUUCGUCCAAGGCUUCAUGCACGCAUUAUGGUGGCUUCAACGUCCUGAAAUCAUCACUUGUAACUCCGUUCUUGUUCCCCAUGCGCAUGCCAUCAUCUCCAUGCUUGUUCUUGCUCCAAUGUUCAUCCUUCUCAAAGCUAGGCCCUUCAUUUGUAAGCAAAACAAAUGUAUCCAAUUUAGGCAGCAUCAUAUUCUCAUGAACAUUAGAAUCAUUAGCAAGAAACGAAAGUACCUGGUAAUUUAAUUGGCGUGCGCGAGCUCUAGUAAUUGGUCCAGUAUGUAUAGCAGCAGGGCCUGUGGGUGUAAUAAUUGUAUUGAUGUCCUCAUCACCUCCUGCAACAACAAAAGACGAAGAGAGCUACCUGGAAUGCAUGGCUUGUUAGCACGGAACACAAAUCCAUCAUUAACGACAAACUUGUUCCAGGUUCUUCCUUCUUUACAAUUCUGCAAAACAUCUUUAAAAUCAGCAUCAUGCACAUAUUGAUCUUUGAUGGUCUCCAAACCAAAUAUUUUGAAGUCAAGUUGUGAAAGCAUAGUAUAGCGACGAGACAAUGCAUCAGCAAUAACAUUUUCUUUACCCUUCUUGUGUUUAAUGACAUAAGGGAAAGUUUCAAUGAAUUCAACCCAUUUAGCAUGUCUACGAUUCAGUUUAGCUUGACUUUUAAUAUGUUUCAAAGAUUCAUGAUCAGAAUGUAUAACAAAUUCUUUGGGCCAUAAAUAAUGUUGCCAUGUUUCUAAAGUCCGAACAAGAGCAUAUAGUUCUUUAUCAUAAGUAGAAUAAUUCAGACUAGGCCCACUCACUUUUUCAGAAAAGGAUGCAACAGGUUUACCAUCUUGUAAUAACACACCUCCUAAUCCAAUUCCACUAGCAUCACAUUCAAGCUCAAAAGUCUUAUUAAAAUCAGGAAGUUGGAGUAAAGGAGCAUGUGUCAACUUAUCUUUCAAUACCGUGAAGGCUUCUUCCUGUGCGGUACCCCAAACAAAAGGCACAUCCUUCUUUGUAAGCUCGUUGAGAGGUGCAGCAAUGGUGCUAAAAUCUCUCACAAAACGCCUAUAGAAACCAGCGAGUCCAAGAAAACUCCGCACUUGUGUGACCGUUUUGGGCUGCGGCCAACUCUCAAUAGCUUCAAUCUUGGCUUUAUCAACUUCAAUUCCCUGUGGAGUAACAACAUAGCCAAGAAAAGAUACUCGGUCGGUGCAAAAGGUGCACUUCCCAAGGUUACCAAACAAAUGUGCAUCACGUAGAGCAAUAAAAACAGCACGUAAAUGUUCCAAAUGUUCUUCCAAAGAUUUGCUAUAAAUCAGUAUAUCAUCAAAAUAGACUACCACAAAUCGUCCAAUGAAAGCACGUAAAACUUCGUUCAUUAGUCUCAUGAAAGUACUAGGUGCAUUAGUUAACCCAAAAGGCAUGACUAACCACUCAUAUAAACCAAACUUAGUUUUAAAUGCAGUUUUCCAUUCAUCUCCCAAUUUCAUACGAAUUUGAUGGUAUCCACUACGCAAAUCAACUUUCGAGAAAAUUGUAGAGCCACUCAAUUCAUCAAGCAUAUCAUCUAGCCUAGGAAUAGGAUGACGAUAACGAAUAGUAAUAUUAUUAAUGCCUCUACAAUCAACACACAUACGCGACGUACCAUCCUUUUUAUGCACUAGUAUAAUAGGAACAGCGCAAGGACUAAGAGAUUCGCGAAUAUAACCUUUGUCGAGCAGCUCCUGUACUUGACUCAUAAUCUCCUUCGUCUCCUCUGGAUUGGUACGGUAUGGUGCACGGUUGGGUAGCGGUGCACCAGGAAUGAAAUCAAUUUGAUGCUCAAUCCCUCGAAUAGGUGGUAAUCCCGGUGGCACGUCUUGUGGGAAGACGUCAGCGAACUCCUGCAAAAUGUUAGUGAUAGCAGGGGGCAAAGAGUAAGGCACGUCCUCGAAUGAAAAUAAUGCCUCUUUGCACACAAAAGCAUAGCAAACAGAUUUGUUGAAAUCUAGCUCAUCAAUAUCAGAUUUUGUGGCAAGUAAACAUGCACUUUUCAAUUUAAUUUCAGAAACAACACUAGAUGGUUUAUUAUUAGGUUUCAUUUGUUGCUCAAAUUCUUUUGCCACAAUCUGAUUUUCACUCUUAUUUUUCUCCUGUUUUGCUUUAUUAGCUCUAUUAAUGUCAUCUUUCAAAAUGGAAUCAGGAGUCAUCGGAAGCAAAGUAAUAUUUUUAUCCUUAUGAACAAGAGUAUACUGAUUGUUCUACCAUGGUGUAUAGAAUUUUUAUCAAAUUGCCAUGGUCUACCAAGUAAUAAGAACAUGCUUGCAUGGGUACCACAUCACAAUCAACAUAAUCAGCAUAUGUAGAGAUACUAAAAUGCACACGAACAGUACGUGUUACCUUAACCUUGCCGCUGUUGUUGAACCAUUGGAUGUAGUAAGGAUGUGGAUGUGGUCUUGUGGUGAGAGAUAGUUUCUCCACCACCUCCAUGCUAGCCAAGUUGUUACAGCUCCCUCCAUCUAUGAUGACGCGAACAGAACGUUCCUUCACAACUCCCUUUGUAUGGAACAAAUUAUGCCUCUGAUCUUGCUCUGCUUGUGUGACCUGCACACUCAAAACACGUUGAGCAACUAAACAUUCAUAACUGUCAGCGUCUUCAGGAGCCAUGUAUUGCGUCUCAUUUUCAGAAUCAUCUCCACCAUGUUCUUCACGUGUAAUAAGAGCCAAAGUCUCCUCAUCAUAGUCACUAGCGGACUCAUACCCACCUUCCUCAGUAGCAAUCAUCACACGCUGAGAUUUGCAUUCUCUCGCAUAAUGUCCUCUUCCCUUACAACGAUGACAAAUAAUAUCACUUGUGUGCCCUGUUGACGCCAUGGAAGAAGAAGAGCUCUGCGCAGGCCCGGCAGGUGUGCUCUUGGCAGAGAGUGGUGGUUGUGCCUGCUUUCUUGUAUCACGGCUGGAGGUGGCACCUGAUGGAGGUGAUGGUGAAGUGGAAGUAGAGGAUGCACGUGGUGUCCAUGAUGAAGGUCAACCUGCAGAAAAGUUAGUUCGCGCCAAUGCCUGUCGAUCCUGCACUUCACGUUCAGCUUUACAAGCAAGAUGGAAUAAACGAUUGAUAUUAUUAUAAUCCUUAUACUCUAGAAUGGUCUGAAUCUCUUUAUUUAAUCCACCCAUAAAACGUGCAAGCAUAGCUUCAUUCUCCUCAACAAUACCACACCUAAUCAUGCCAGUUUGUAAUUCCUGAUAAUAUUCUUCUACAGAAUUUUUCCCUUGUCUUAAGCGCUGCAAUUUUUGAAGUAAUUCAUGUUGAUAAUAUGGUGGAACCCAACGAGUACGCAUAGCAGUUUUCAAAGCAGCCCAAGUAGCUGGAACAGGAUAUAAUCUACAAUGUUCAGACCACCAAACACACGCAAAGCUAGUGAAAGCACAAACAGCAGCAGGAACACGUCUCUCCUCAGGAUAUUGUAAACAUGUAAAUCGUUGUUCAGUUUCUAACUCCCAAGUAAGAUAUAUAUCAGGAACAUAUCUACCCUCAAAUGGUGGAAUAUUCAAUUUCAGUUUAGGGAGAUGGUCAUGAUCUCGUACCUGAGGUGGUGGUGCCGGCCUACCGUUGCGAAUAUAUACCUGAGGUCGACCUGCUGGUGGUGGUGCUGGUGGCUGCACGUAGUUCUGAUUUUGAUCAACCUCAUCCUCAUAAUCGCCCGCAUAAUCGUCAUCCUCCUCAGCCGCCGCAGUAGCAGGAGCCAAAGAAGCAUCAACAGUAGGUGCAGCAGCACCCAAAUUUUGACCAGUCUCAAUUGGAACGCGCUGUGCUCGUCCCACUUGAUUUGGAAGGCGGUGUUGGAGAUGUGGUUGUUGUUGUAGAGGUGCGACAGGUGCAGCCGGUGGUGGUUGGGGAAGACGCUUGAGCAAUUCAUUAAACCUGUUAUCCAGCUUUGUCUCAAAUGACUUCUCCACGGCAUCUAUCUUUCUCCAUAGCCUCUUCAAAUCUGUUUAGCACAUCUCCCACCUGGCCACUCAUCAUUUGCUGAAAUUUAUCAUGCAACCCCUUGUUCGUCAUGUUCUCCCAAUCAGUCUCAUCGGCUUGUGAUCCUGCCAUGGUUAGCAGCAAUAGAAACACAAAAGAAUAUGAUCCUACAGACUACUAGGAAGUGGUGGUGAUGGUGGUGUGUCACAAAUCCUUCAAUCAAAUCUCAAAUUCUUACCAGUUCUUACCCAGCAGCAGGUGGUGAUCGGCAACCGUUGUAGUCAAAACUCUCAAAGCUUGGAUAGAGCGAUUACCAGGGAGAGUCAAAUGCACGACGUAGAUGUAUGUGGAGCUGGGAAGACUUAUAAUAUGGUAGCAAAAAGGGUCAGCAAUAAUCAAUUCAGAUAUGCAAAGUUGAAUAAACGCUCAACGACGGUACUGUGCUGGUCCUAGGCUAGACCGUGCUAGAGACGCGAGCCUAGAACACUAACAAAAUCACGGCGCUGCACGUAAACAAGGGAGGAGCACACUCUGAAACUUUUUUUCACUUUUUUUCCACUUUUUUUUUGCUCCGCAACAAUUUUUUUCGAAAAAGUCUACAAAUGGUCUAAAAACUGCCUAGCCAGAAUUUUCUAGACUUAGUUUUUUUUGAAACUGGAACUAUUUUUCUACUGCGGGUAACACAAAAAUUUGUUCUGUCACUUGGGGUGAAUUUCGUGGCCCUUGGGGAAGGGGUCCGAAACCAACCCUAUCUCUUGUUUCCCCACACAUACGGACUCUAAAAACAGCCUAUACUCAAGUAUUUCGAAAUUACAUGGGCCUGGCCCAAUAAUAAGAUGACGCAGCACCUAGAAUAGCGUCUGGACGAAAGUUAUGAAGUAGCAUCCUGUAUAUUUCGUCCAAGGCUUCAUGUACGCAUUAUGGUGGCUUCAACGUCCUGAAAUCAUCACUUGUAACUCCGUUCUUGUUCCCCAUGCGCAUGCCAUCAUCUCCAUGCUUGUUCUUGCUCCAAUAUUCAUCCUUCUCAAAGCUAGGCCCUUCAUUUGUAAGCAAAAAAAAUGUAUCCAAUUUAGACAACAUCAUAUUCUCAUGAACAUUAGAAUCAUUACCAAGAAACGAAAGUACCCUGUAAUUUAAUUGGCGUGCGCGAGCUCUAGUAAUUGGUCCAGUAUGUAUAGCAGCAGGGGCUGUGGGUGUAACAAUGGUAUUGAUGUCCUCAUCAGGUUCACUCUCUCACUAUUCUCUCCACGAUGGGUGUUUUGCUUGUCGGCGAGCACUUGGCUUGGAGACAUAGGACGUAGCACAAACUCUUUCCCUUUCAUCUUGAAGCUAUAGUGAUUUGUACGCCCAUUGUGAAUGACACCUCGGUCAAAUUGCCAUGGCCGUCCAAGAAGGAGGUGGCACACGGUCAUCGGAAGGACAUCACACUCCAAAGUGUCUUCAUAGGCGCCGAUCUUGAAAGAGACUUGUACUCUCUGCUCGACUUGUAUGGUGCCGGUGUCGCUUAGCCAUUGAACCUUGUAGGGGUGCGGUUGCUUCAUCUUGACCAAUUGGAGUUUGGAGCAUAGUUAUCACUUGCCAAGUUAUGGCAACUCCCUCCAUCGAUGAUGACUUUGACGUACCGUCCAUUGAUGCCGGCCUUUGUGUGGAAUAUAUGGCAUCUUUGAUCUUCGUCUUGUUGAUGUUGAAGCGUCAAGACCUUGGAGACAAUAAGAGCAGGACUUGAGUCUUCGUCACAAAAGAUGUGAUCAUCCUUCGUUUGUGCCCAAGUGGUGAUGGGUGGUUCACCUCUUGCCGCAUGGCGCUCAAUGACUUGUUCCCACCAAAUGAGGACGUAGUCUUGGAAUUCGAGGGAUGCCAUUGCGAUCUUCUUCUCUUCUUCGUAGUUGUGCAAGCGGAAGAUUUUGUCAACCUUCAAUGCCCAUGAUAUGUACUCUUCGGAGCCAUUGCUUCCGGUAAACUUGGGCAUGGUGAACUUUAGCUUGCCAUAUCGUUGCUCUUCAUUGUGUUGGGGUCGGGGAUGAUGACGCCCAUGUCGGUGAGGAUUGGCAAUCUCAUGUCGCUCUUGGCGAGGAGGGUUGUCUUCCUCAUGUUGCUCUUGGUGAGGAGGGUUGUCUUCCUCAUGAUACUCUUGGCGAGGAGGUGGUCCAUUGUCUUCUUGCUCUCGAUGGACUUGACGUUCUUGUCUCGCAUGAGGAGGAGCUUGUCGAUCUUGACGAGGAGCUUGUCGAUGCACACGUGCUUCAUAAAUCCUUUCUUGAGCUUCGUCGCGAAGUGCUUCUUGAUGUAGUCGAGCUUGUCGGCCUCGAUUGGCUACGGCACGACUUGAGUCUUGAAGAGCACGUUGCGCAUCAAGUGCUUGAGCUUCACGUAGUUGUCGUUCUUGACGUUGCGCCUCGACAUCUUGUGCAUCUUGAUGUUGUCGCGCUCGCUCCUCUUGUUCUUGUUGUCGUUGGUGUUGUCGUUCUUGUGCUUGUGCGAAAGCAGCUUGGUUGUGACGAUGUCGAUGCUCUUGAGAGUCGGUGUCGUGUAUAGGAUUGCGGUUAGCUUGACGGUCUUGACGCGCGGCACGACGAAGAGUGUUUGAUGUUGGUGUACUUGAACCGGAGAUGGUGUCGUCGUAGUGUCGACUUGAGCGGCACCGUCUUGACGAGGACGAAGUUGUAGAAGAGCGGACCAUCAUGGUUCGGAUAUCUUCUUUGAGGGAACUCAUGGAUGUGUCGAAGUAGUCUCUUGUACGUUGCUCAGAUUGUCGUAGAUCGGUGGCGAGGUUGUCGAUGCGAUCGCCCGAAGCAAGUUGUUCUUGAUGCAAAGCUCGGUGUGCACCAAAUAGUUGAGUCUUGGUGACGUAGGAUGACAUGUCGUCGUCUUGCUCCAAGAAGAGUGGAUUGGUAGAAGUACUUGGCCUAUCCAUCAUUCCAACAAUGAUAUGUGAGUGGGAGAAAGAGAAGAACCAAUACCAAAUGUACCUUGACCGAUGUUGAAAAUGGAUCAAAGAUCACUCCAAUGUGUAUCAAGGGAAUAGCACAAUUGGUACCGUUUCUUGUCGGUUCUCACACCUACACAAGUAAAAGCUUGUGGUGGAGCUUGGUUAGGAUGGUGGCACAAAAUUUGAUGCAAUUGUAAGUGAGACUCAAUAAUGUUGGAAAAGAUUCACAAAUUUGCAAAUGCAACAAGUAGACCAAUAGCAAGAUAUGGUACACGGAAACACACACGCAAAAAGAUAAGUGGGGUUGGGCAACCAAGGGUGAGCCAAAAUGUGGAAUCCACCAAGAUGCUCUUGUUGCACAACACUAGAGAGACGCUAGCACGAUUGCACAAUAGGCGGAUACGAACUUGUGCACAACCUACUAAGCAAAAAUGCAACGACUUCUAUCCCAAGUAUGCUAUAUGUAUGAUGUUUCUAUGCUUUGAUCCAAGAUGAUCGAGUAUGACAAUCUUAAUGUUGUAUGAUGCUAUGGUUCUAGCUUAUAAGCUCUUUGCUUAUCGUUCCCUUUUGCUUAAAAGCUUGUUUGGCUCUUUGUUGUUUGAGCUCUUUUCUUAUGCAAUGCUUCACGAACCAAGAUAGCAAUUGUGUAUGCGAAGACAACUUUGUGACACAAGAGAUGAUACCAAGAUAUGCAACACGAUGAUGGUAUGUAUGCUAUGGGAAGUAUGAACACUAAUGUGCACAAGUCACGUUGCCGGCAGUACUCAAAGGCUAGUCUCGAUGGGUAAGCUACGCGAAAGUGAGGCUAUGGGGUUAUCAAUGCAAAUGCAAGAGAGUAUGAUGAUAUCGCUAUACCAAGAUGAUAUGAAGGUGAAGGUGAUACCAAUGUAGCCGUUCGUAGUAGUCCUUGGCGAAGAUGAGCGGUGGUGAUGUUGUUGCCGAACCGUACCUACAUAGCCGAAACACAAUAGGAUACGGAAACCACAACUCAAAUUCUCAAAACAAAAUGGGUCAAAAUUGUCGGAGUUGGUAACGGGAAAGGCUAUGGUGGUGCUAUGCGGAAAUGGUGGUGGUAUGAGGAAGUGUAUGUGGGCUCCGGAACAAAAUUGGACGAAAGUUAGGCGGUAAACGGAGUGGAGGAUGGAGUUGAUGCUGUCAGGGGCCGGACGUCCGGGCUGAUGACCGGAAGUCCGGGCCGGGCCGGAUGUCCGGGCUGGUCGGGCCGGAUGUCCGGGCUCGGGAUCCGUGGAUGAACACCGCGUGGAGAGGUCAAAUCCGGGGCGAAAUUCGGAAGAUUUUGUGGAUGGAAAUUGGGGAAAAGAUGGGGAAAGGCUAGAUCUACCUGCAACACACGAAAUUCGCGGAUCAAAUCCAACAAAACUUCAUCACACCAACAAAUCACAAAAAAAAAUUGGGGCAACUUUUGUGGGGCAAUUUUCGGGUUAGGAUGAAAAACAACAAAAUCAAGCUAGAAAACAAAGAGAGGGGGCUCCGAAAUCGUGAUCAACGUGGCUCUGAUACCAAGAUGAUGUAGGGUGGAACCCUAUAUAGCCGAUCUUUCACGAAAGGAGUGGAUCCCAACUAAGAAGACGAAGAACACGAGGGGAAACACGAGGGGAAGACACGAGAGAAUCACUCAAACCAACAAGAACAAUCACACAUGUGCUAGAUCCUCGAAACACAAAGAGAUACACGGUCCAAAUCCAACAAGGGACGAUACAUAGGUAACCGGUUCUUCUCCGAAAGGAGGUCUUGAGGGGGCCACCCAAGAGGGGGUCUUGAAUCCAACGUGGAUCGUCUCCGAAGAGGGGCCGCAGUCUCUCUCGAGGAGGAGAUUCGUAUGGAUGAGCAAUGCUUUAUCUCACAUAUGAGCUAAACCAAUGCUAACCCUAGAAAGAUGGAGGAGAAGGAGUAUAUAUAGUCUAGGGGAUCGAAGGGGUACACGGGCCUCGGCCCUUACUGUGCGCAGACAGGGGUGGCCGGAUGUCCGGGCGACGGGCCGGAUGUCCGGGGCUUCAGGAGGGGCCGGAUGUCCGGGCUGGGGGCCGGAUGUCCGGGCUGGAGGGCAAAACUUCUGGAUGUUCUGUUGCGUGGCGCCGGAUGUCCGGGCUUUUGGCCGGAUUUCCGGGCUGGGGCCGGAUGUCCGGGCUGGACGCCGGAUGUCCGGGCUGGACGCCGGAUGUCCGGGCCCUGUAGGCUUGGGCGUCUGGGCUGCUGCUGCUGUGGUUGCUCCAGGGGCCGGAUGUCCGGGGACUUGGCCGGAUGUCCGGGGCCUGGAAGGUGAACUUGCCUGUUUCCGUUGGUUCUCUUCAUCCGUGAACUUGGCGGCUUGUCCGUCUUCACGUGCAUCCUCGGGAGGCUCCUCUUGACACCUAAUCAUGCAUAGCAUAUCGGACUUAGGUAGUAGCCAUGUCUCGAGUGGAUCAUAUGUGAUAUCACUAAGGAAGGAAGUCACCUCGUUCUCGAGAGCUCUAGCUCGUGCUCGUGUCAUAGGUCCUCUUGGCUCUUGAUGAGACGAUGGUAGGUCCAUGGGGAUGACCGUAGGAUGCUCCGCAUCAGAGAAGCCACAGGUCAGGUAGCCAAGUGGGCCAUUGAGCUUGGGCCCCAUGGUUUGAAGUAUAUGCCUCAGACAACUAUCAAGUCUCAAGCACUUGUGGAUUUUAUUAAUGACUGGACCGAGCUGCAGAUGCCUGAGGAGAAGCCGGAUAGCACAUAUUGGACUAUUCACUUUGAUGGAUCCAGGCAGUUGGAAGGCUCGGGGGCUCGAGUUAUUUUGACUUCCCCACGAGGUGAUAAAUUUUGUUAUGUUUUAAGGUUGAUGUUCCCUAGUACUAACAAUGCAGCUGAGUAUGAGGCCUUGCUCCAUGGUCUUCGGAUGGCUAAAGAGAUGAAUCUAAGUCGGGUGAGGUGUUUUGGCGACUCUGCAAGUUUCAGGCACCUGGGAUUCUAAGGAUCCGCUCAUGGCGGCUUACCGCCGAGAGGUUGCUGUUAUUGCUGGUCAUUUCAAAGGUUAUCAAGUGGAACAUGUUCAUAGGAAAAAUGAGGCGGCUGAUUCUUUAAGCCGGCUAGGGUCCCAGCGUAAGCCGGUACCACCUAAUGUUUUCCUUGAUAUUCUGCAUAACCCUUCAGUCAAAUUGCCUACGGAGGAAGAUCUUACUGUUCCUGGCCCGGAGGCGCAGUUGGUGGCGGCUCUUCAUGUUAUUCCUGAUUGGACAAUUUCAUAUUUGGCUUAUAUGACCCGGGGUGAGUUACCUGAAGAUGAAACUUUGGCCAGGCAGAUAACCCGGCGAUCUAAGUCAAUGAUUAUUGUCAAUGGAGAGUUGCACCGCUGCAGUGUCACCGGGGUGUUUCAACGUUGUGUUUCUCCUGAGGAAGGCCGUGAGAUUCUAUGAGAGAUUCAUGAAGGAGAUUGUGGUCAUCAUGCCGACUCUAAGUCUCUCGUAGCUAAGGCUUUUCGUCAUGGGUUUUAUUAGCUGACGGCUCAUGCUGAUGCAGAGGAUUUGGUCAGUAAAUGUGAUGGUUGUCAGAAAUUUUCAAGACGGGCUCAUGUGCCGGCUCAAGAAUUGAGGAUGAUUUCAAUUACUUGGCCAUUUGCAGUCUGGGGGGUGGAUAUGGUUGGACCUUUUAAAACAUCCAAGGAUAAAAAGACCCACCUUUUGGUGGCAGAUGACAAGUUUACAAAGUGGAUCGAGGCAGAGCCGGUCAGUAAGUGUGAUGCGGCGACGACGGUUCAAUUAAUCAAAAAGGUGAUUUUCUGUUUUGGCUACCCUCACGGCAUUAUAACUCAUAAUGGCACUAAUCUGUCUAAAGGUGCUAUGAAAGAAUUCUGUCAACAAGAGCAUAUUCGUCUUGAUGUAUCAUCAGUGGCUCACCCCCAGUCCAAUGGCCAAGAUGAAAGAGCCAAUCAAGAAAUCUUGAGAGGCAUAAAACUCCGACUUAUGGUCCUUUUGCAGAGGACGCCGGGUUGUUGGGUGGAGGAAUUGCCCUCAGUGCUAUGGAGUAUCAAUACUACCCCCAAUAGAUCUACGGGUUACACGCCUUUCUUCAUGGUUUACGGACCAGAGGCAGUUCUCCGUACUGACAUCCGUCACGAUUCGCCCCGUGUGGCGGCUUAUGGUGAAGCUGAUAAUUAAAAAGCACGUUAGGAUGCUCUUGACUUAUUGGAUGAGGAGCGUGACCUUGCGGCGGUUCGUUUGGCGAUUUACCAGCAAGAUCUGCAUCAUUAUCAUAGCCGCCAGGUUAAAACCAGGACCUUUCAAGAAGGAGAUUUGGUGCUCCGGCUCAUCCAGGAUCAAGCUGACAUGCACAAGCUAUACCUACCUCGGGAAGGGCCCUUUGUGGUCAGCAAAAAUCUGAACAACGGGUCAUAUUACCUUAUCGAUGUUCGAGACCACAAGGACUCACACACGUUGGAGGAGGAGACCCGACGACCAUGGAAUAUUGCUCAUCUUCGGCCUUAUUACACCUGAGCCAAUUGCUCUUGUGAUGUACAUACUUCUACCAAUGUAUAUAUUAUGAUUAGUAUAAUAAAGCCGGCAUCCCUGAUAAUUCAGUGCCUCUGUCGUUUCAUUUAUGAGCAUAUGAGUCUUUAUUAUCACUUCAUAAGAUCACUUGGGGGCUUCCUGCUCAUUGAGCAUAGCUGUAACUAUCCUAUUGAUCCGGCUUGAACGCCGUUGAUACAACCAACUUGGAGGCUUGAUGCCCGGGUCAAAGGGACCAAAGAGAGUCUGUUGCAGAGCACAACCCAAACAUAGGUGCCCUGCCUAGAUGGUUCAAUAUAUAUCACUUGGGGGCUCCUUGUUCAUUGAACAUAACUUCGAUAACCCUUUUGAUUGGCUUGAAAUGCUAGGUGUAUACACCAAAAAAUUUCAGUUGAUCUUGCUUUGUACGUCUGCCUCUCCGCCCAGGUAAUCCUGGAAUGACCCGCUGAACUAUUGACAGUCAAUCUUAUUAAGACCCUGAACUUGUCAAGGUUAAAACGACGGUUGGUCAUGUGAGGUCCGGCUUACAAGGUUUGAAUGAAGGAUUAACUUAGUGACUGUGCAAUCCCAUGAAAAGCACUUGAUGGUUGAGGCCUGGCCGCCUAUGAAAGCCUUGAUUUUUCUUAUUCAUUUUUUACCUUUGUUUAUCGAUAUAUUGUUUAAUAAAUUGGUUCAGACAAUGUUGCUUUGAUCCUUAUGAUUCAUAUUUGAAUAUAUCCGGAGUUUUGAUAACCCGGCCUGGUUUUGGACGAUUAAGUCGCUAAUGUGUCAUGAUCAUGAAUAUAUCCAAUGUUUAUCGAUAUAUUGUUCAAUAAAUUGGUUCUGCACUCUAAGUUUUGGGAUGAUACCCUUUGCUGCGUAUGUAGCCCGAAGUAUGAAUUUGUGGAUAGGGCGCUAUGCUCUACAUCUUUGGGCUGUUACCCUUACUGCAUGUGGCAUGAUAAGCCGGCGGGAUGAACAAAUAUUACAUAUAUGUUAUUUACUUGUUAUGAAUAAACGGGGUUUUGAUAAACCUGCCCUGGUUAUGGACGAUCUAGUCACCAGUGGAUUUUCUAUGGGGCAUUAUGACCCGCCCUGGGGUAAACCGCCAGGGAAUUUGUUAUCUGUUUGGAUGCAGGGCUAAUGACAACAUGAUCAGCAUUGUUGACACAAGUUAUGAGCAUAAGUAAUGGAGUUUCAACUCAACUCAGGUGGCUUAACAAGUGUUAUGCAAAUAAACACACGCGAUGGCGUGAAAGAUCAUGGUUUUUCAGCUAAGCCUAUUACAAGGCAUCAUAUGGCCACAAAAUAAUCAGUGUUUUGAAACGCACAAAAUCCAAAUGCGGAAGGUGAUAAACCGGUUCAUGGAUCACGCCUCCUGGUCUUGGCGGGUUGAGGCUUCUGUGUCAUCUUGUUCCGGUUCUUCUUCUCCUUGGUUAUCCAUUGGAUGGAAGUCAGGUGUAGCCCAGUUGAUACCGGUCAAAGCUCUAAACACAACCUCGUCAUCUAUAAGACUAGAUGGAUCAAUGUCAGGAGCGAAGAUGUGCUUACGAGUCGGCGGGAUGAGAUCCACCUCCUGAUAGAGGCAAAGGUGUCCCGUCUUUCGAUGAGAUGGUGGCUAUCGUUUUGGAGGAAGUCGACUUUGACGAACCGACUAUGAACGUGCGAGGACGUCGCGCCUUAGCAAUCGCUAAACCAACUCCGAGAGGUUAUUGACCACACCGGAGCACGAUCAACCUGACCACGAAGGUCCGUUUCCUGCAGGCAAACGAAGAACAAGCAAGAAACUAAGAUUGCAAUCUCGAUAUUGCGAAUAUAAGAGGAAAGCUUUAUUGAUCAAGGUGGCGUUCUGUGACGCCUUUGUCUGGUCGUUGAACACAAACGAAGUACGCGAAGUUGCAGCUAUGAUGAACUUUUAAUCUAAACAAAGCCCAAAGUCUAAACGGUGCCCUAAGGGCUGUAUAUAUGGAGGAAGAGGGGGGAAUUUCGUGGCCCUCGGGGAAGGGGUCCGAAACCAACCCUAUCUCUUGUUUCCCCACACAUACGGACUCUAAAAACAGCCUAUACUUAUGUAUUUCGAAAGUACAUGGGACUGGCCCAAUAAUAAGGUGACACAACACCUAGAAUAGCCUCUGGACGAAAUUUAUGAAGUGGCAUCUUGUAUAUUUCGUCCAAGGCUUCAUUCACUCCUUAUGGUGGCUUCGAAGUCCUGAAAUCAUCACUUGUAACUCUGUUCUUGUCUCCCUUGCGCAUGCCAUCAACUCCAUGCUUGUUCUUGCUCCAAUGUUCAUCCUUCUCCAAGCUAGGCCCUUCAUUUGUAAGCAAAACAAAUGUAUCCAAUUUAGGCAGCAUCAUAUUCUCAUGAACAUUAGAAUCAUUACCGAGAAACGAAAGUACCUGGUAAUUUAAUUGGCGUGCGCGAGCUCUAGUAAUCGGUCCAGUAUGUAUAGUAGCAGGGGUUGUGGGUGUAACAAUGGUAUUGAUGUCCUCAUCAUCCUCCCCUUCUUGAAAUGAGGUCGUCCUCGACGGAAGCUCAUCUUCCUCACCCAAAUAAGGCUUCAAAUCUGCAAUGUUAAAAGUGGGACUAACCCCAAAAUCUGCAGGCAGCUCAAGUUUAUAUGCAUUAUCAUUUAUUUUCUCUAACACCUUAAAAGGACCAUCAACACGUGGCAUUAGCUUUGAUUUGCGCAAAUUAGGAAACCUAUCCUUACGCAAAUGCAACCAAACAAGAUCUCCAGGUGCAAAGACAACAUGUUUUCUAACCUUAGCUCCAGCAAGUUUAUAUUUAGCAUUCAUACGCUCAAUGUUUUCCUUAGUUAACUCAUGCAUUUUUAAGAUCAAUUCAGCAUGUUGUUUAGCAUCAAAAUUAACCUUCUCCGAAGAUGGAAGAGGCAACAAAUCAAUAGGUGCACGAGGUAGGAAACCAUACACAAUUUCAAAAGGGCACAUCUUAGUAGUAGAAUGCAAUGAACGAUUAUAAGCAAACUCAAUAUGAGGCAAGCAUUCUUCCCACAUUUUCUUAUUAUUCUUCAAAACAGCCCUAAGCAUAGUAGACAAUGUUCUAUUGACUACUUCAGUUUGACCAUCAGUUUGGGGGUGACAACUAGUACUAAAAAGCAGUUUAGUCCCCAACUUAGCCCAGAGACAUCUCCAAAAGUGACUAAGAAAUUUAGUAUCAUGAUCUGAAACAAUAGUAUUUGGCACACCAUGCAAGCGAAUAAUUUCACGAAAGAACGAAUCAGCGACAUUAACAGCAUCAUCGCUUUUAUGACAUGGUAUAAAGUGUGCCAUUUUCGAGAACCUAUCCACGACAACAAAUAUGCUAUCCCUCCCCUUCUUUGUUCGAGGUAAACCUAAAACAAAGUCCAUAGAUAUAUCCUCCCAAGGAACGCUAGGUACAGGCAAAGGCAUAUAUAAACCAUGAGGAUUGAGUCGUGACUUAGCUUUUUGACAUGUAGUGCAGCGAGCAACAAAACGCUCAACAUCCCGUCUCAUCUUUGGCCAAAAGAAAUGUGUAGCAAGUAUAUCCUCCGUCUUCUUCACACCAAAGUGUCCCAUUAGUCCUCCUCCAUGCGCCUCCUGCAACAACAAAAGACGAACGGAGCUAGCUGGAAUGCAUAGCUUGUUAGCAUGAAACACAAAUCCAUCAUUAACGACGAACUUGUUCCAUGUUCUACCUUCUUUACAAUUCUGCAAUACAUCUUUCAAUUCAGCAUCAUGCACAUAUUGAUCUUUGAUGGUCUCCAAACCAAAUAUUUUAAAGUCAAGUUGUGAAAGCAUAGUAUAACGACGAGACAAUGCAUCAGCAAACAUUUUCUUUACCCUUCUUCUGUUUAAUGACAUAAGGGAAAGUCUCAAUGAAUUCAACCCAUUUAGCAUGUCUACGGUUCAGUUUUGCUUGACUUUUAAUGUGUUUCAAAGAUUCGUGAUCAGAAUGUAUAACAAAUUCUUUGGGCCAUAAAUAAUGUUGCCAUGUUUCUAAAGUCCGAACAUGAGCAUAUAAUUUUUUAUCAUAAGUAGAAUAGUUCAGACUAGGCCCACUCAAUUUUUCAAAAAAGUAUGCAACAUGUUUGCCAUCUUGUAAUAACACACCUCCUAAUCCAAUUCCACUAGCAUCACAUUCAAGCUCAAAAGUCUUAUUAAAAUCAGGAAGUUGGAGUAAAGGAGCAUGUGUCAACUUAUCUUUCAAUACCGUGAAGGCUUCUUCCUGUGCGGUACCCCAAACAAAAGGCACAUCCUUCUUUGUAAGCUCGUUGAGAGGUGCUGCAAUGGUGCUAAAAUCUCUCACAAAACGCCUAUAGAAACCAGCGAGUCCAAGAAAACUCCGCACUUGUGUGACCGUUUCGGGCUGCAGCCAACUCUCAAUAGCUUCAAUCUUGGCUUUAUCAACUUCAAUUCCCUGUGGAGUAACAACAUAGCCAAGAAAAGAUACUCGGUCGGUGCGAAAGGUGCACUUCCCAAGGUUACCAAACAAACGUGCAUCACGUAGAGCAAUAAAAACAGCACGUAAAUGUUCCAAAUGUUCUUCCAAAGAUUUGCUAUAAACAGUAUAUCAUCAAAAUAGACUACCACAAAUCGUCCAAUGAAAGCACGUAAAACUUCGUUCAUUAGUCUCAUGAAAGUACUAGGUGCAUUAGUUAACCCAAAAGGCAUGACUAACCACUUAUAUAAACCAAACUUAGUUUUAAAUGCUGUUUUCCAUUCAUCUCUCAAUUUCAUACGAAUUUGAUGGUAUCCACUACGCAAAUCAACUUUGGAGAAUAUUGUAGAGCGACUCAAUUCAUCAAGCAUAUCAUCUAGCCUAGGAAUAGGAUGACGAUAACGAAUAGUAAUAUUAUUAAUGCCUCUACAAUCAACACACAUACGCGACGUACCAUCCUUUUUAGGCACUAGUAUAAUAGGAACAACACAAGGACUAAGAGAUUCGCGUAUAUAACCUUUGUCGAGCAGCUCCUGUACUUGACGCAUAAUCUCCUUCGUCUCCUCUGGAUUGGUACGGUAUGGUGCACGAUUGGGUAGUGAUGCACCGGGAAUUAAAUCAAUUUGAUGCUCAAUCCCUCGAAUAGGUGGUAAUCCCGGUGGCACGUCUUGUGGGAAGACGUCAGCGAACUCCUGCAAAAUGUUAGUGACAGCAGGGGCAAAGAGGAAUGCACGUCCUCGAAUGAAAAUAAUGCCUCUUUGCACACAAAAGCAUAGCAAACAGAGUUUCUUAAAACUAGCUCAUCAAUAUCAGAUUUGGUGGCAAGUAAACAUGCACUUUUCGAUUUAAUUUCAGAAGCAACACUAGAUGGUUUAUUAUUAGGCUUCAUUUGUUGCUCGAAUUCUUUUGCCACAAUCUGAUUUUCACUCUUAUUUUUCUCCUGUUUUGCUUUAUUAGCUCUAUGAAUAUCAUCUCUCAAAAUGGAAUCAGGGGUCAUAGGAAGCAAAGUAAUAUUUGUAUCCUUAUGAACAAGAGUAUACUGAUUGUUUCUACCAUGGUGUACAGAAUUUUUAUCAAAUUUCCAUGGUCUACCAAGUAAUAAGGAACAUGCUUGCAUAGGUACCACAUCACAAUCAACAUAAUCAGCAUAUGUAGAGAUACUAAAAUGCACCCGAACAGUACGUGUUACCUUAACCUUGCCGCUGUUGUUGAACCAUUGGAUGUAGUAAGGAUGUGGAUGUGGUCUUGUGGUGAGAGAUAGCUUCUCCACCAUCUCCAUGCUAGCCAAGUUGUUGCAGCUCCCUCCAUCUAUGAUGACGCGAAUAGAACGUUCCUUCACAACUCCCUUUGUACGGAACAAAUUAUGCCUCUAAUUUUGCUCAGCUUGUGUAACCUGCACACUUAAAACACGUUGAGCAACUAAACAUUCAUACCUGUCAGCAUCUUCAGCAGCCAUGUAUUGCGUCUCAUGAUCAGAAUCAUCUCCACCGUGUUCUUCAUGUGUAAUAAGAGCCAAAGUCUCCUCAUCAUAGUCACUAGCGGACUCAUACCCACCAUCCUCAGUAGCAAUCAUCACACGCUCAGAUUUGCAUUCUCUCGCAAAAUGUCCUCUUCCCUUACAACGACGACAAAUAAUAUCACUUGUGUGCCCUGUUGACGCCAUGGAAGAAGAAGAGCUUUGUGCAGGCCCGACAGGUGUGCUCUUGGCAGAUAGUGGUGGUUGUGCCUGCUUUCUUGUAUCACAGUUGGAGGUGGCACCUGAAGGAGGUGGUGGUGCAGUGGAAGUAGAUGAUGCACGUGGUGUCCAUGAUGAAGGUCGAUCAGACCCCCGGGCAGUUUUUAGGCCAAAAUUUCGGCAACCAAAAAUAUUUUUUCCCUAUCCUAUUUUUAGGCCCCGGGUAGUGUUUUGAGACACUCGCCAUCAUAGUGAUUUUUUGUCGCACUUUUUCGUCGUCGCUGCCCUGAUUUCCGAAAAAAAAUAGUCAAAAAAUUUUGUGCCCAUCCUGUCAGUUUGACCUGGGAAGAGUUUUGAGACACUCGCCAUUAUAGUGAUUUUUCGCAAAAAAAAAGAGGAGCGCAAAAAAAAAGAGCGCAAAAAAAAAGAGCGAAAAAAAUAAUUCCAGAGUGUGCUUUUCCCUUGUUUACGUGCAGCGCCGUGAUUUUGUUAGUGUUCUAGGCUCGCGUCUCUAGCACGGUCUAGCCUAGGACCAGCACAGUACUGUCGUUGAGCGUUUAUUCAACUUUGCAUCUCUGAAUUGAUUAUUGCUUACCAUUUUGCUACCAUAUUAUAAGCCUUCCCAGCUCCACAUAAGUCUACAUCGUGCGUUUGACUCUUCCUGGUAAUCGCUAUAUCCAAGCUUUGAGAGUUUUUGACUACAACGGUUGCCGAUCACCACCUGCUGCUGGGUAAGAACUGGUAAGAAUUUGAGAUUCGCUUGAAGGUUUUGUGACACACCACCAUCACCACCACUUCUAGUAGUCUGCAGGAUCAUAUUCUUUUGUGUUUCUUUUGCUGCUAACCAUGGCAGGUUCACAAGCCGAUGAGACUGAUUGGGAGAACAUGACGAACAAGGAGUUGCAUGAUAAAUUUCAGCAAAUGAUGAGUGGCCAGGUGGGAGAUGUGCUAAACAGAUUUGAAGAGGCUAUGGAGAAGAUAGAUGCCGUGGAGAAGUCGUUUGAGACAAAGCUGGAUAACAAGUUUACUGAAUUACUCAAGCGUCUUCCCCAACCACCACCGGCUGCACAUGUCGCACCUCUACAACAACAACAACCACAUCUCCAACGCCGCCUUCCAAAUCAAGUGGGACGGGCACAGCGCGUUCCAAUUGAGAUUGGUCAAAAUUCGGGUGCUGCUGCACCUACUGUUGAUGCUUCUUUGGCUCCUGCUCAUGCGGCGGCUGAGGAGGAUGAUGAUUAUGCGGGCGAUUAUGAGGAUGAGGUUGAUCAAAAUCAGAACUACGUGCAGCCACCAGCACCACCACCAGCAGGUCGACCUCAGGUAUAUAUUCGCAACGGUAGGCCGGCACCACCACCUCAGGUACGAGAUCAUGACCAUCUCCCUAAACUGAAAUUGAAUAUUCCACCAUUUGAGGGUAGAUAUGUUCCUGAUAUAUAUCUUACUUGGGAGUUAGAAACUGAACAACGAUUUACAUGUUUACAAUAUCCUGAGGAGAGACGUGUUCCUGCUGCUGUUUGUGCUUUCACUAGCUUUGCAUGUGUUUGGUGGUCUGAACAUUGUAGAUUAUAUCCUGUUCCAACUACUUGGGCUGCUUUGAAAACUGCUAUGCGUACUCGUUGGGUUCCACCAUAUUAUCAACGUGAAUUACUUCAAAAAUUGCAGCGUUUAAGACAAGGGAAAAAUUCUGUAGAAGAAUAUUAUCAGGAAUUACAAACUGGCAUGAUUAGAUGUGGUAUUGUUGAGGAGAAUGAAACUAUGCUUGCACGUUUUAUGGGUGGAUUAAAUAAAGAGAUUCAGACCAUUCUAGAGUAUAAGGAUUAUAAUAAUAUCACUCGUUUAUUCCAUCUUGCUUGUAAAGCUGAACGUGAAGUGCAGGAUCGACAGCCAUUGGCGCGAACUAACUUUUCUGCAGGUCGACCUUCAUCAUGGACACCGCGUGCAUCUUCUACUUCCACUUCACCAUCACCUCCAUCAGGUGCCACCUCCAGCCGUGAUACAAGAAAGCAGGCACAACCACCACUCUCUGCCAAGAGCACGCCUGCCGGGCCUGCGCAGAGCUCUUCUUCUUCCAUGGCAUCGACAGGGCACACAAGUGAUAUUAUUUGUCGUCGUUGUAAGGGAAGAGGACAUUUUGCGAGAGAAUGCAAAUCUCAGCGUGUCAUGAUUGCUACUGAGGAUGGUGGGUAUGAGUCCGCUAGUGACUAUGAUGAGGAGACUUUGGCUCUUAUUACACGUGAAGAACAUGGUGGAGAUGAUUCUGAAAACGAGACGCAAUACAUGGCUCCUGAAGACGCUGACAGGUAUGAAUGUUUAGUUGCUCAACGUGUUUUGAGUGUGCAGGUCACACAAGCAGAGCAAAAUCAGAGGCAUAAUUUGUUCCAUACAAAGGGAGUUGUGAAGGAACGUUCUGUUCGCGUCAUCAUCGAUGGAGGGAGCUGUAACAACUUGGCUAGCAUGGAGAUGGUGGAGAAGCUAUCUCUCACCACAAGACCACAUCCACAUCCUUACUACAUCCAAUGGUUCAACAACAGCGGCAAGGUUAAGGUAACACGUACCGUUCGUGUGCAUUUUAGUAUCUCUACAUAUGCUGAUUAUGUUGAUUGUGAUGUGGUACCCAUGCAAGCAUGUUCCUUAUUACUAGGUAGACCAUGGCAAUUUGAUAAAAAUUCUGUACACCAUGGUAGAAACAAUCAGUAUACUCUUGUUCAUAAGGAUAAAAAUAUUACUUUGCUUCCUAUGACUCCUGAUUCCAUUUUGAAAGAUGACAUUAAUAGAGCUAAUAAAUCAAAACAGGAGAAAAAUAAGAGUGAAAAUCAGAUUGUGGCAAAGGAAUUUGAGCAACAAAUGAAACCUAAUAAUAAACCAUCUAGUGUUGUUUCUGAAAUUAAAUUGAAAAGUGCAUGUUUACUUGCCACAAAAUCUGAUAUUGAUGAACUAGAUUUCAGCAAAUCUGUUUGCUAUGCUUUUGUGUGCAAAGAGGCAUUAUUUUCAUUCGAGGACGUGCCUUCCUCUUUGCCCCCUGCUGUCACUCACAUUUUGCAGGAGUUUGCUGACGUCUUCCCACAAGACGUGCCACCGGGAUUACCACCUAUUCGAGGGAUUGAGCAUCAAAUUGACUUAAUUCCCGGUGCAUCGCUACCCAACCGUGCACCAUACCGUACCAAUCCAGAGGAGACGAAGGAGAUUAUGCGUCAAGUACAGGAGCUGCUCGACAAAGGUUAUAUACGCGAAUCUCUUAGUCCUUGUGCUGUUCCUAUUAUACUAGUGCCUAAAAAGGAUGGUACGUCGCGUAUGUGUGUUGAUUGUAGAGGAAUUAAUAAUAUUACUAUUCGUUAUCGUCAUCCUAUUCCUAGGCUAGAUGAUAUGCUUGAUGAAUUGAGUGGCUCUACAAUAUUCUCCAAAGUUGAUUUGCAUAGUGGAUACCAUCAAAUUCGUAUGAAAUUGGGAGAUGAAUGGAAAACUGCAUUUAAAACUAAGUUUGGUUUAUAUGAGUGGUUAGUCAUGCCUUUUGGGUUAACUAAUGCACCUAGUACUUUCAUGAGACUAAUGAACGAAGUUUUACGUGCUUUCAUUGGACGAUUUGUGGUAGUCUAUUUUGAUGAUAUACUGAUUUAUAGCAAAUCUUUGGAAGAACAUUUGGAACAUUUACGUGCUGUUUUUAUUGCUCUACGUGAUGCACGUUUGUUUGGUAACCUUGGGAAGUGCACCUUUUGCACCGACCGAGUAUCUUUCUUGGCUAUGUUGUUACUCCACAGGGAAUUGAAGUUGAUAAAGCCAAGAUUGAAGCUAUUGAGAGUUGGCCGCAGCCCAAAACGGUCACACAAGUGCGGAGUUUUCUUGGACUCGCUGGUUUCUAUAGGCGUUUUGUGAGAGAUUUUAGCACCAUUGCUGCACCUCUCAACGAGCUUACAAAGAAGGAUGUGCCUUUUGUUUGGGGUACCGCACAGGAAGAAGCCUUCACGGUAUUGAAAGAUAAGUUGACACAUGCUCCUUUACUCCAACUUCCUGAUUUUAAUAAGACUUUUGAGCUUGAAUGUGAUGCUAGUGGAAUUGGAUUAGGAGGUGUGUUAUUACAAGAUGGUAAACCUGUUGCAUACUUUUCUGAAAAAUUGAGUGGGCCUAGUCUGAAUUAUUCUACUUAUGAUAAAGAACUAUAUGCUCUUGUUCGGACUUUAGAAACAUGGCAACAUUAUUUAUGGCCCAAAGAAUUUGUUAUACAUUCUGAUCAUGAAUCUUUGAAACAUAUUAAAAGUCAAGCUAAACUGAAUCGUAGGCAUGCUAAAUGGGUUGAAUUCAUUGAAACUUUCCCUUAUGUCAUUAAACAGAAGAAGGGUAAAGAAAAUGUUAUUGCUGAUGCAUUGUCUCGUCGCUAUACUAUGCUUUCACAGCUUGACUUCAAAAUAUUUGGUUUGGAGACCAUCAAAGAUCAAUAUGUGGAUGAUGCUGAUUUUAAAGAUGUUUUGCAGAAUUGUAAAGAAGGAAGAACCUGGAACAAGUUUGUCGUUAAUGAUGGAUUUGUGUUCCGUGCUAACAAGCUAUGCAUUCCAGCUAGCUCUCUUCGUCUUUUGUUGUUGCAGGAGGCGCAUGGAGGAGGAUUAAUGGGACACUUUGGCGUGAAGAAGACGGAGGACGUACUUGCUACACAUUUCUUUUGGCCAAAGAUGAGACGGGAUGUUGAGCGUUUUGUUGCUCGCUGCACUACAUGUCAAAAAGCUAAGUCACGAAUCAAUCCUCAUGGUUUAUAUAUGCCUUUGCCUGUACCUAGUGUUCCUUGGGAGGAUAUAUCUAUGGACUUUGUUUUAGGUUUACCUCGAACAAAGAAGGGGAGGGAUAGCAUAUUUGUUGUCGUGGAUAGAUUUUCAAAAAUGGCACACUUUAACCAUGUCAUAAAAGCGAUGAUGCUGUUAAUGUUGCUGAUUUGUUCUUCCGUGAAAUUAUUCGUUUGCAUGGUGUGCCCAAUACAAUUGUUUCUGAUCGUGAUACUAAAUUUCUUAGCCACUUUUGGAGAUGUUUAUGGGCUAAGUUGGGGACUAAACUGCUUUUUGGUACUACUUGUCACCCCCAAACUGAUGGACAAACUGAAGUAGUCAAUAGAACAUUGUCUACUAUGCUUAGGGCUGUUUUGAAGAAUAAUAAGAAAAUGUGGGAAGAAUGCUUGCCUCAUAUUGAGUUUGCUUAUAAUCGUUCAUUGCAUUCUACUACUAAGAUGUGCCCUCUUGAAAUUGUGUAUGGUUUCCUACCUCGUGCACCUAUUGAUUUGUUGCCUCUUCCAUCUUCGGAGAAGGUUAAUUUUAAUGCUAAACAACGUGCUGAAUUGAUCUUAAAAAUGCAUGAGUUAACUAACGAAAACAUUGAGCGUAUGAAUGGUAAAUAUAAACUUGCUGGAGAUAAGGGUAGAAAACAUGUUGUGUUUGCACCUGGAGAUCUUGUUUGGUUACAUUUGCGUAAGGAUAGAUUUCCUGAUUUGCGCAAAUCAAAGCUAAUGCCACGUGCUGAUGGUCCUUUUAAGGUGUUAGAGAAAAUAAAUGAUAAUGCAUAUAAACUUGAGCUGCCUGCAGAUUUUGGGGUUAGUCCCACUUUUAACAUUGCAGAUUUGAAGCCUUAUUUGGGUGAGGGAGAUGAGCUUCCGUCGAGGACGACUUCAUUUCAAGAAGGGGAGGAUGUUGCGGACAUCAAUACCAUUGUUACACCCACAACCCCUACUGCUAUACAUACUGGACCAAUUACUAGAGCUCGCGCACGCCAAUUAAAUUACCAGGUACUUUCGUUUCUCGGUAAUGAUUCUAAUGUUCAUGAGAAUAUGAUGUUGCCUAAAUUGGAUACAUUUGUGUUGCUUACAAAUGAAGGGCCUAGCUUUGAGAAGGAUGGACAUUGGAGCAAGAACAAGCAUGGAGAUGAUGGCAUGCGCAUGGGGGACAAGAACGGAGUUACAAGUGAUGAUUUCAGGACGUUGAAGCCACCAUAAUGCGUGCAUGAAGCCUUGGACGAAAUAUACAAGAUGUUACUUCAUAACUUUCGUCCAGAGGCUAUUCUAGGUGCUGCGUCACCUUAUUAUUGGGCCAGGCCCAUGUAAUUUCGAAAUACUUGAGUAUAGGCUAUUUUUAGAGUCCGUAUGUGUGGGGAAACAAGAGAUAGGGUUGGUUUCGGACCCCUUCCCCAAGGGCCACGAAAUUCCCCCCCUUCCUCCAUAUAUACAGCCCUUAGGGCGUCGUUUAGACUUUGGGUUUUGUUUUGAUUAAAAGUUCGCCAUAGCUGCAACUUUGCGUACUUCGUUUGUGUUCAACGAGCAGACAAAGGCGUCACAGAACCCCACCUUGAUCAAUAAAGCUUUCAUCUUAUAUUCACAAUAUCCAGAUUGCAAUCUCAGUUUCUUGCUUGUUCUUCGUUUGCUCGCAGGAAACAGACCCUCGUGGUCAGGUUGAUCGUGCUCCGGCGUGGUCAAUAACCUCUCGGAGUUGGUUUAGCGAUUGCUAAGGCGCGACGUCCUCGCACGUUCGUAGUCGGAUCGUCAAAGUCGACUUCCAUCAAAGCAAUAUCCAUCAUCUCAUCGAAAGACGGGACACCUUUGCCUCUAUCAUGUUCCCCAAACAAACGGUGCAUUUUUCUUACUCAAACAUGCAAAGGUGAGGCAAUGGUGCUAAAAUCCUUCACAAAUCUACGGUAGAAACUGGCUAAACCAAGAAAACUACGCACUUGUUGCAAAUUGGUUGGUUGGGGACAAGUUUUAAUAGCAUUGAGCUUAGAUUCAUCAACAUGAACACCCUUAGAAGAUACUAUGAAACCCAAGAAAACAAGCUUAUCAACACCAAAUAGGCAUUUUUCCAUAUUAGCAUAAAGUUGCUCUUUUCGAAGUGUUUGUAGCACGGUGCGAAGGUGGGUGACAUGUUCUUUGAGAGAUUUGCUAAACAAAAGGAUAUCAUCAAAGUAGACAACAACGAAUUCACCAAUGUAAGGUGAAACACGUAAUGCAUAAGACGCAUGAAAGUACCGGGUGCUUCCGAUAAACCCAUAGGCAUGACUAACCACUCAUAUAGACCAAACUUUGUUUUGAAAGCGGUUUUCCAUUCAUCACCCUCUUGUAUGCGGAUUUGAUAGUAACCACUUUUAAGAUCAAUUUUGGAAAAGAUAGUGGCACCACAAAGUUCAUCAAGCAUAUAAUCAAGGCGUGGAAUGCGGUACCUAUAACGAACGGUGAUAGCAUUGAUAGGUCUACAAUCGGAACACAUGCGAAAGCUGCCGUCUCAUUUUGGCACAAGAAUGACCGGUACGGCACAAGGACACAAACUUUCACGCACAUGACCAUGGUCUAUGAGAUGCUUUACUUGCCUUUGUAUUUCUUUGGUUUCUUCGGGGUUGACGCGGUAGGGAGCUUUGUUUGGAAGCGGUGCUCCAGGGAUGAGAUCGAUUCGGUGCUCAAUGCCUCGUAGUGGAGGUAGACCCGGAGGUAGCUCAUCGGGGAAAACAUCUUGGAAUUCCUGCAAUAAAGAAGAUAACACCAAAGGUAGAUCGUGAGAGUUGUUAGUUUUUGGUGCCUCAUCCUUGCACAAUAGGACAUAGUGUAGGACACUUGAUGGGUUCUCACACACUUCUCUCAUCUCACGUUUGGUGGCAAAUAGUACUAAGUUUUUCUUGUCGCUCAUCGUGGAGGCACUCAAUUUAGGCUUGUGGCGCUCACUCUCUUUUUGGUGGUUCACUCUCUCACUAUUCUCUCCACGAUGGGUGUUUUGCUUGUCGGCGAGCACUUGGCUUGGAGACAUAGGACGUAGCACAAACUCUUUCCCUUUCAUCUUGAAGCUAUAGUGAUUUGUACGCCCAUUGUGAAUGACACCUCGGUCAACUUGCCAUGGCCAUCCAAGAAGGAGGUGGCACACAGUCAUCGGAAGGACGUAGCACAAACUCUUUCCCUUUCAUCUUGAAAUUGGGGACGAACACAACAAAAUCAAGCUAGAAAGCACAACGGGGAGGCUCCGAAAUCGUGAUCAACGUGGCUCAUGAUACCAAGAUGAUGUAGGGUGGAACCCUAGAUGGCCGAUCUUUCACGAAAGGAGCGGAUCCCUACGAAGAACGUGAUGAACACGAGGGGAAACACGAGGGAAACACGAGGGGAACACGAGAGAAAUCACUCAACCAACAAGAAUAGAUCACACAUGCGCUAGAUCGAUGAACACAAAGGUAAGAUACAAGAUCCAAAGUCAACAACGGACGAUACAAACGGUAACCGGUUCUUCUCCGUAAGGAGGUCUUGAUGGGGGCCACCCAAGAGGGGGUCUUGAAUCCGAGGUGAUCUUCUCCGUAGAGGGGCCGCGGUCUCUCUCGUGGAGUAGAUCUGUAAUGGAUGAGCAAUGCUCUAUCUCACAUAUGAGCUAAACCAAUGCUGACCCUAACUAGGAGGAAGGAGAGGUCUAUUUAUAGUCUAGGUGCAAAAGGGGGCGAAGUGAAGGGGUACAUGGGCCUCAGCCCGUAACUGGACACAGCCAGGGCCCGGACGUCCGGGAGACGCCGGUCGUCCGGAGGCUCGCGGGGGUCCGGACGUCCGCAGUUCUUCGGAUGUCCGCAAUUUAGCUUCUGUUGCCACGGUGCCGGACGUCCAUGGGCGUUCGGUCGUCCGGUCGCCGGUCGUCCGGUCUUUCUCGGAUUUCCGUAGAUUUGGUUCUGUUGGCGUAGUGUCGGUCGUCCGGAAGGGCUCGGACGUCCGGAGCUUGGGAGUCGGCGGACGUCCGGUCUGGGUCGGUCGUCCGGCCGCUGUAGCGUUCGCAGGCUUGGUUUCCUUGGGCUGUAGCGACCUCCAGGGGUCGGACGUCCGGGCUGGGCCGGUCGUCCGGAGCCAGUAGCUUCCGUGGCGGCUCUUCCUCUUGAUCUUCGCGCUUGGUGUCCUCGCCGUCUUGUCCGUUGGAUGUAGGAGGUCCAUGGUUCUCCUCCAAGUACCUGAUCACACAUAGUGUUUCCGUUUGAGGUAGUAGCCAUGUCUCAUGUGUCGAAAGUGGUAGUUCGGAAAGGAGCAAGUUCACCUUAUCUUCGAUAGCCUUAGCUCGAGCUCUUGUCAUUGGUCCAAGUGGUGUCGUGGGAGACGUAGGUAGGUCCAUGGGGAUGACCUUGGGAUGCUCCGCAUCAGCUGCCCUCUCGGUCUCCCAGCCAGUUUUAUCAGCACUGAAGUCUUGUUUCAGUUUUUCAAUGUUUUCCAGUGAAGUCUUCAGCUUUGCUUUGGCUUUUGCAGUCUCAGAUUGUUGGGUUUGAAUGUUGGCCCUCACAUCUUUGACUUGGGAUUCCAUCAUAUUUAGUUCAGCCUGCAACAUGAACAAGGUGGGAGGUAUUAUUAUCAUAUUAUUUUUUGAAGUCCCAAGCACUUGGGGGCUAAUUGAAGGAAAUAUGCCCUAGAGGCAAUAGUACAGUUGUUAUUUAUAUUUCCUUAUAUCAUGAUAAAUGUUUAUUAUUCAUGCUAGAAUUGUAUUAACCGGAAACUUAGUACAUGUGUGAAUACAUAGACAAAAUAGAGUGUCCCUAGUAUGCCUCUACUCGACUAGCUCGUUAAUCAAAGAUGGUUAAGUUUCCUGACCAUAGACAUGUGUCUACAUUUGAUGAAUGGGAUCACAUCAUUAGAGAAUGAUGUGAUGGACAAGACCCAUCUGUUAGCUUAGCAUUAUGAUCAUUUAGUUUUAUUGCUAUUGCUUUCUUCAUGACUUAUACAUAUUCCUCUGAUUAUGAGAUUAUGCAACUCCCGAAUACCGGAUGAACACCUUGUGUUCUAUCAAAUGUCACAAUGUAACUGGGUGAUUAUAAAGAUGCUCUACAGGUGUCUCCGAAGGUGUUUGUUGAGUUGGCAUAGAUCAAGAUUAGGAUUUGUCACUCAGUGUAUCGGAGAGGUAUCUCUGGGCCCUCUCGGUAAUGCACAUCACGAUAAGCCUUGCAAGCAAUGUGACUAAUGAGUUAGCUACAGGAUGAUGCAUUAUGGAACAAGUAAAGAGACUUGCUGGUAACGAGAUUGAACUAGGUAUGAUGAUACCGACGAUCGAAUCUCAGGCAAGUAACCGAUGACAAAGGGAAUGACAUAUGUUGUUAUGCGGUUUGACCGAUAAAGAUCUUCAUAGAAUAUGCAGGAGCCAAUAUGAGCAUCCAGGCUUCGCUAUUCGUUAUUGACCGGAGAUGUGUCCCAAUCAUGUCUACAUAGUUCUCGAACCCGUAGGGUCCGCACGCUUAACGUUCGAUGACGAUUUGUAUUAUGAGUUAUGUGUUUUGGUGACCGAAGUUUGUUGGAGUCUCGGAUGAGAUCACGGACAUGACGAGGAGUCUCGAAAUGGUCGAGAGGUAAAGAGUCAUAUAUUGGAAGGUUGUAUUCGGACAUCGGAAUGGUUCCGAGUGAUUCGCUUAUUUUACCGGACUACCGAGGGGUUACCGGAACCCCCCGGGGAAGUGUUGGGCCAACAUGGGCCUAAGGGAGAGAGAGGGAAGCCCGCGGGGGGUGGCCGCGCGCCCCCCUCCUAGGGAGUCCGAAUAGGACAAGGAGGAGGGGGCGGCGCCCCUUCCCUUUCCCUCUCCCUCUCCUUCCUAUUCCCUCUGGUGGAGAAAGGAAAGGGGGGCGAAUCCUACUUGGACCAGGAGUCCAAGUAGAACUCCCCCCAUGAUACAACUCCGUCGUAUCUAUAAUUUUUGAUUGUUUCAUGCCAAUAUUAUACCACUUUUACAUACUUUUAGCAACUUUUUAUAUGAUUUAUUUGACUAACCUAUUGAUCUAGUGCCCAGUGCCAGUUCCUAUUUUCUGCAUGUUUUUGGUAUCGCAGAGUAUCCAUAUCAAACAAAGUCCAAAUGCAAUAAAUUUUACAGAGAAUUAUUUUGGAAUAUAUGUGAUUUUUGGGAGUUGGAAUCACCACAAACGGCGGCCCGUGGUGGACACAACCCACUAGGGCGCGCCAGAGGAGCCAGGCGUGCCGUGGUGGGUUGUGCCCACCUCGUACGUUGGUUGGGGCUCUACUUCGGGCGGAAGGAAGCUUAUAUCCAGAAAAAAAAACCGUGGUAAAAUCUCAGCGCAAUCGGAGUUACGGAUCCCCGGGAAUAUAAGAAAGGGUUUUUGGUCAGCUUUGGGGAACGCGAAACAGAAGAGAACAGAGAGGGAGAUCCAAUCUCGGAGGGGCUCCCGCCCUCCGCCGCCAUGGAGACCAAGGACCAGAGGGGGGAAUCUCCUCCCUAUCUAGGCGGGAGGCCAGGGAUGAAGAAGAAGUAGGGGGCUAGAUAUGAAUUGGUUUGUAACAGUACUUACAGUAGUGAUUUGCUUUAUUAUACUAACAGAUCUUACUAAACUUUCUGUUGAGUUUUGUGUGGAUGAAGUGAUCAAAGAUCGAGGAGGUCUCGAUAUGAGGAGAAGGAGGAGAGGCAAGAGUUCAAGCUUGGGGAUGCCCAAGGCACCCCAAGUAAAUAUUCAAGGAGGCUCAAGCGUCUAUGCUUGGGGAUGCCCCGGAAGGCAUUCCAUCUUUCUUCAACAAGUAUCGGUAUGUUUUCAAUUUUGUUUCAUUCAUGUGAUAUGUGCAAAUCUUGGAGCGUCUUUUGUAUUUAGUUUUUCCCUUUUUCUUUUAUGCACCAUGCUGGUAUGAGAUAGUCCACCUUGCAUAUUAUGAGAGAAAAGGCAUUAGAAUUACUCCAAAAGGCAUUAUUAUACAAUAAAACAUAGUAAAUAACAGUAGGUAAACAUGAUGCAAAAUGGACGUAUCAACUCCCCUAAGCUUAGACCUCGCUUGUCCUCAAGCGAAAACUGAAAUCGAAAAACAUGUCCACAUGCUUAGAGAGAGAGGUGUCGAUAAAAACAAAAUACGGACAUAGAAGCAUCAUGUAUAUUAUUAUAACAGCAACAAACUUUAUCAUAGAACUUUGAUCAUAAACUUCUCAUGAACAAGUAACAUUUCAUCACAACAUCGAAGUAUAAAGCAUAAACUCUACUGAAAACCAACAAACCAUGUUCUCAGUCAACUUUGCAACUACAAUUCAUCAUCUUUUCAGGAAGGGUCUCGUAUCGGAGCCUUUUGGCAAGUCGACAUACUCAACCAUCAUAUAGUCUUCUAUGAUUGAUAACACCCACCGCAUACCUAUGAGCAAAAAGUUUCAACCAGACACCUAGGAAGAUAGGGACUUAUAGUUUCGCCUCCCAACGUAUUCACCUCAAGGGUGAUGUCAACAAUAAUAACUCAUGCCCACCCAUAUUCAACUGGAUAUAUGUGCCUAGAUCUUUCCUCACCACAUGAUGCUUGCAAAAGAGAAAAAUAAAAAGGAAUAGGGAAGAAUACUUUGACUCUUGCACAAAAGUAAAUACAUAAAAGUAAAAGACAGGCCCUUCGUAGAGGAAUGCAGAGGUUGCCAUGCGCUUUUUGGUUGUAUGCUCAAUCUCUUAGUGCAAAAGAAUGUCACGUUAUAUUGCCCCUUGUGAUAGCAACCUUUAUUAUGCAGUCUGUCGCCUUUAUUAUUUUGCCAUCACAAUUUCAUACAACACUCAAUUUUCUCUUACACUAAAUGAUCUAACACAUUUAGAAGCAAUUUUUAUUGCCUUAUUGCACCGAUGACAACUUACUUGAUGGAUCUUAGUUAAUCCAUAGGUAGGUAUGGUGGACUCUCAAAGCAAGAUUUGGGUUUAAGGGUUUUUGGAUGCACAAGUAGUAUCUCUACUUAGUGCAGAAUUUUUGGCUAGCAAAGAUAGGGGCAAGCACCAAAUGUUAAACGGUCUAUGACAGUAUAACUUCUAUGUGAAUAUGAACAAACAAAAAUCAUUAUGUUGUCUUCCUUGUCCAACGUCAACAAUUUUGGCAUAUAAUAUUUUGAUGGGGGCUCACAAUCAUAGAAGAUGUCCAACAUAGUGUAUUUGCAUGUGAAUCUUCUCUUCCCUUAUUAAUUCUUUCAUGAAUUGCAUCAUUGACCAAUGCUAUGUUUGUCAAUCUCUAAUAAAUUUUACUACUUAUACUCUUCCUAUGUGAUGUCAUCACUUACCAUAAGAUUUGUCGGUGUUCUGGGAACGGGGGUGCCCAGACUUGCCUGCCUACAGCCCACGGCAUGGCUCCAUCUACGGCCUGGUACGGCCCAGCUUCAGCAUCAACAACUCAAGACCCUCGCGAGGGGCCAAGCCUCGUGAGGCAGACGACACCAAGACCUCCAGAAGGAGCGGCCUCCCCAGGCAGGCUCCUGAGGAGCGGAGAUUUCUAUGCAAUCCUCACCUCGUGAGGUUUGGAUGACGUGAGCCAUAACGACCAAGGCCAAGCGGGUGCCAGCGCGUGCAGUGCAGCAGUUUCCUCUUUAGUGCUAAAGAGGCAAGUGCAGGCGCGGAGUCCCGAGGAAUCAGCCAAAGGUUUCCGUUCCCAUGCAACGAGACCAAGACCGCCAGGACAGCAGGAGCCCACCGCAGCGUCACGACCAGAAGCUUUGCAGGCGAAGACUACUUUUGUCAGGAUAAGAUGUACUAGUUGUCUCCCUUUGAAUUUGGCCAUUGUGGGAUCCCUACCCGCCUUCAUUUGGGAAGAGGACCAAGACCGCUAUAAAUAGGACCUAGCCACUACCAUGAAGGGGGGUCAUUUCAGAUCAUCCUCUCCCACACUAGCUCAAGAACACGCCUCCUGAGGUCGUUCUCCCACUGUACUAGUUUAUCCUCAGCCCCUCGAGGCCAAUCCACCACAAAGCAGGAGUAGGGUUUUACACCGCAAGGUGGCCCGAACCUGGGUAAACUGUUGUGUCCCAUUUCCUUCUUGCUCGACGAGCUAGGCCAUGAGAUCAGCGAGUUGGCAGACUGGGGAGGUUGAGUUCUUCGCACGCACCCCAGAGUUCGAACCUCUCAAGGGUCUGCGGAACCCAAAAUCCGACAUUUGGCGUGCCGGGUAGGGGUGCGUCGGAGCCUCUCUUCCGCCGGUCGAUUUGCCACCGCUUCACCGCCCCCUUGGACGAUGCUCGUCGAGCUCGUGCUCAGCACCGGGCCGCCCUCACCGCCCGCGUCGCUCAGACAGCACCGGCGGGCGAUGUCUAUCCUCGCCAUCCCUCGUCGCUAGUGGAGAACACCGCCAUCGGCCCCGCGGGCCAUGAGCAGCAGGCCUCGUCGCUGCAUCCUUCUAUGCGGCUAGAUGGACACACCGCCACCUCGUCGCUGACUCCGGCUGCUUCGUCUUCCCAUGCUCGUCGUGGUCCGGCAAACGCGUAGGCCGCGCUGCUCAUGGCAUGUGAGCUUCUGCGCUACCGCCCGGUCGAUGACCACUACGAGACUGGCUGGACCGCAUCGCUGAGCUCGUCAGUGCCCCCGGAGGGUCUCCUGCACCAUCUCGCUCGCUUCCUCACCCAACGCCUGCCGCGGGUGACGUGGCCCAUGGGGCGCCUCCUCCACCUCCCCGACAAGACGUCAUCAUCAAGCCAAGGUGGGAGGCCCGUCGGCACGAUCCGCAGCACAGGGCGCCCGUGCACAACAAGGCAAGCUGCAAGGUGGUGCAGCGGCCGCAGGGAGAGGCGCGUGUGCUCCCUGCACCGCCACGUCAAGACCGCGCGCCGCCCGCGGCGGUGGUGCACGAGUGCCAAGACCAGGCUCCACCUCCACGGUGGGCUCCCGUGAACACACCGGGAUGUUGCGUUUUACUCCAGAGCUGCGCAGCGUCGUCUGGCCAGGGAAGUUCAAGCCCGACCUGCCUCCACGCUACGACGACACCCAUGACCCUGCUGAGUUCAUACAUCUCAACGAGCUGAGCAUCAAGGCGGCCAACAGCGACGAGAAGCUCUGAUGAGGACAUCAAUACCAUUAUUACACCCACAACCCCUGCUGCUAUACAUACUGGACCAAUUACUAGAGCUCGCGCACGCCAAUUAAAUUACCAGGUACUUUCGUUUCUUGGUAAUGAUUCUAAUGUUCAUGAGAAUAUGAUGCUGCCUAAAUUGGAUACAUUUGUUUUGCUUACAAAUGAAGGGCCUAGCUUUGAGAAGGAUGAACAUUGGAGCAAGAACAAGCAUGGAGAUGAUGGCAUGCGCAUGGGGAACAAGAACGGAGUUACAAGUGAUGAUUUCAGGACGUUGAAGCCACCAUAAUGCGUGCAUGAAGCCUUGGACGAAAUAUACAAGAUGCUACUUCAUAACUUCCGUCCAGAGGCUAUUCUAGGUGCUGCGUCACCUUAUUAUUGGGCCAGGCCCAUGUAAUUUCGAAAUACGUGAGUAUAGGCUGUUUUUAGAGUCCGUAUGUGUGGGGAAACAAGAGAUAGGGUUGGAGGAGCACGAUCAUCAUUCAGUAAGUUAAGCUAUGGAUUUCAAUUGGAGGAGCAAGGCCGUUGGACUGGGCUUUUUCGCACCCGUGUGGUGGUGAGAGAGAGAUCAUGUGCCAUGACGAUUUGAUAGAGGCAAAGGUGUCCCGUCUUUCGAUGAGAUGAUGGAUAUCGCUUUGGUGGAAGUCGACUUUGACGAUCCGACUACGAACGUGCGAUGACGUCGCGCCUUAGCAAUCGCUGAACCAACUCCGAGAGGUUAUUGACCACGCCGGAGCACGAUCAACCUGACCACGAGGGUCUGUUUCCUGCGAGCAAACGAAGAACAAGCAAGAAACUGAGAUUGCAAUCUGGAUAUUGCGAAUAUAAGAUGAAAGCUUUAUUGAUCAAGGUGGGGUUCUGUGACGCCUUUGUCUGGUCGUUGAACACAAACGAAGUACGCGAAGUUGCAGCUAUGGCGAACUUUUAAUCUAAACAAAACCCAAAGUCUAAACGACGCCCUAAGGGCUUUAUAUAUGGAGGAAGAGGGGUGGGGGAAUUUCGUGGCCCUUGGGGAAGUGGUCCGAAACCAACCCUAUCUCUUGUUUCCCCACACAUACGGACUCUAAAACAGCCUAUACUCAAGUAUUUCGAAAUUCAUGGGCCUGGCCCAAUAAUAAGGUGACGCAGCACCUAGAAUAGCCUCUGGACGAAAGUUAUGUAGUAGCAUCUUGUAUAUUUCGUCCAAGGCUUCAUGCACGCAUUAUGGUGGCUUCAACGUCCUGAAAUCAUCACUUGUAACUUCGUUCUUGUUCCCCAUGCGCAUGCCAUCAUCUCCAUGCUUGUUCUUGCUCCAAUGUUCAUCCUUCUCAAAGCUAGGCCCUUCAUUUGUAAGCAAAACAAAUGUAUCCAAUUUAGGCAGCAUCAUAUUCUCAUGAACAUUAGAAUCAUUACCAAGAAACGAAAGUACCUGGUAAUUUAAUUGGCGUGCGCGAGCUCUAGUAAUUGGUCCAGUAUGUAUAGCAGCAGGGGCUGUGGGUGUAACAAUGGUAUUGAUGUCCUCAUCAUCCUCCCCUUCUUGAAAUGAAGUCGUCCUCGACGGAAGCUCAUCUCCCUCACCCAAAUAAGGCUUCAACUCUCCAAUGUUAAAAGUGGGACUAACCCCAAAAUCUGCAGGCAGCUCAAGUUUAUAUGCAUUAUCAUUUAUUUUCUCUAACACCUUAAAAGGACCAUCAGCACGUGGCAUUAGCUUUGAUUUGCGCAAAUCAGGAAUUCUAUCUUUACGCAAAUGUAACCAAACAAGAUCUCCAGGUGCAAACACAACAUGUUUUCUACCCUUAUCUCGAGCAAGUUUAUAUUUAGCAUUCAUACGCUCAAUGUUUUCCUUAGUUAACUCAUGCAUUUUUAAGAUCAAUUCAGCACGUUGUUUAGCAUCAAAAUUAACCUUCUCCGAAGAUGGAAGUGGCAACAAAUCAAUAGGUGCACGAGGUAGGAAACCAUACACAAUUUCAAAAGGGCACAUCUUAGUAGUAGAAUGCAAUGAACGAUUAUAAGCAAACUCAAUAUGAGGCAAGCAUUCUUCCCACAUUUUCUUAUUAUUCUUCAAAACAGCCCUAAGCAUAGUAGACAAUGUUCUAUUGACUACUUCAGUUUGUCCAUCAGUUUGGGGGUGACAAGUAGUACUAAAAAGCAGUUUAGUCCCCAACUUAGCCCAUAAACAUCUCCAAAAGUGGCUAAGAAAUUUAGUAUCACGAUCUGAAACAAUAGUAUUUGGCACACCAUGCAAACGAAUAAUUUCACGGAAGAACAAAUCAGCAACAUUAACAGCAUCAUCGCUUUUAUGACAUGGUAUAAAGUGUGCCAUUUUUGAAAAUCUAUCCACGACAACAAAUAUGCUAUCCCUCCCCUUCUUUGUUCGAGGUAAACCUAAAACAAAGUCCAUAGAUAUAUCCUCCCAAGGAACACUAGGUACAGGCAAAGGCAUAUAUAAACCAUGAGGAUUGAGUCGUGACUUAGCUUUUUGACAUGUAGUGCAGCGAGCAACAAAACGCUCAACAUCCCGUGUCAUCUUUGGCCAAAAGAAAUGUGUAGCAAGUACGUCCUCCGUCUUCUUCACGCCAAAGUGUCCCAUUAAUCCUCCUCCAUGCGCCUCCUGCAACAACAAAAGACGAAGAGAGCUAGCUGGAAUGCAUAGCUUGUUAGCACGGAACACAAAUCCAUCAUUAACGACAAACUUGUUCCAGGUUCUUCCUUCUUUACAAUUCUGCAAAACAUCUUUAAAAUCAGCAUCAUGCACAUAUUGAUCUUUGAUGGUCUCCAAACCAAAUAUUUUUAAGUCAAGUUGUGAAAGCAUAGUAUAGCGACGAGACAAUGCAUCAGCAAUAACAUUUUCUUUACCCUUCUUGUGUUUAAUGACAUAAGGGAAAGUUUCAAUGAAUUCAACCCAUUUAGCAUGUCUACGAUUCAGUUUAGCUUGACUUUUAAUAUGUUUCAAAGAUUCACAAUCAGAAUGUAUAACAAAUUCUUUAGGCCAUAAAUAAUGUUGCCAUGUUUCUAAAGUCCGAACAAGAGCAUAUAGUUCUUUAUCAUAAGUAGAAUAAUUCAGACUAGGCCCACUCAAUUUUUCAGAAAAGUAUGCAACAGGUUUACCAUCUUGUAAUAACACACCUCCUAAUCCAAUUCCACUAGCAUCACAUUCAAGCUCAAAAGUCUUAUUAAAAUCAGGAAGUUGGAGUAAAGGAGCAUGUGUCAACUUAUCUUUCAAUACCGUGAAGGCUUCUUCCUGUGCGAUACCCCAAACAAAAGGCACAUCCUUCUUUGUAAGCUCGUUGAGAGGUGCAGCAAUGGUGCUGAAAUCUCUCACAAAACGCCUAUAGAAACCAGCGAGGCCAAGGAAACUCCUCACUUGUGUGACCGUUUUGGGCUGCGGCCAACUCUCAAUAGCUUCAAUCUUGGCUUUAUCAACUUCAAUUCCCUGUGGAGUAACAACAUAGCCAAGAAAAGAUACUUGGUCGGUGCAAAAGAUGCACUUCCCAAGGUUACCAAACAAACGUGCAUCACGUAGAGCAAUAAAAACAACACGUAAAUGUUCCAAAUGUUCUUCCAAAGAUUCGCUAUAAAUCAGUAUAUCAUCAAAAUAGACUACCACAAAUCGUCCAAUGAAAGCACGUAAAACUUCGUUCAUUAGUCCCAUGAAAGUACUAGGUUCAUUAGUUAACCCAAAAGGCAUGACUAACCACUCAUAUAAACCAAACUUAGUUUUAAAUGCAGUUUUCCAUUCAUCUCCCAAUUUCAUACGAAUUUGAUGGUAUCCACUACGCAAAUCAACUUUGGAAAAUAUUGUAGAGCCACUCAAUUCAUCAAGCAUAUCAUCUAGCCUAGGAAUAGGAUGACGAUAACGAAUAAUAAUGUUAUUAAUGCCUCUACAAUCAACACACAUACGCGAUGUGCCAUCCUUUUUAGGCACAAGUAUAAUAGGAACAGCACAAGGACUAAGAGAUUCGCGUAUAUAACCUUUGUCGAGCAGCUCCUGUACUUGACGCAUAAUCUCCUUCGUCUCCUCUGGAUUGGUACGGUAUGGUGCACGGUUGGGUAGUGAUGCACCGGGAAUUAAGUCAAUUUGAUGCUCAAUCCCUCGAAUAGGUGGUAAUCCCGGUGGCACGUCUUGUGGAAAGACGUCAGCGAACUCCUGCAAAAUGUUAGUGAUAGCAGGGGGCAAAGAGGAAGGCACGUCCUCGAAUGAAAAUAAUGCCUCCUUGCACACAAAAGCAUAGCAAACAGAUUUGUUGAAAUGUAGCUCAUCAAUAUCAGAUUUUGUGGCAAGUAAACAUGCACUUUUCAAUUUAAUUUCAAAAACAGCACUAGAUGGUUUAUUAUUAGGUUUCAUUUGUUGCUCAAAUUCUUUUGCCACAAUCUGAUUUUCACUCUUAUUUUCCUGUUUUGCUUUAUUAGCUCUAUUAAUGUCAUCUUUCAAAAUGGAAUCAGGAGUCAUAGGAAGCAAAGUAGUAUUUUUAUCCUUAUGAACAAGAGUAUACUGAUUGUUUCUACCAUGGAGUACAGAGUUGUUAUCAAAUUGCCAUGGUCUACCAAGUAAUAAGGAACAUGCUUGCAUGGGUACCACAUCACAAUCAACAUAAUCAGCAUAUGUAGAGAUACUAAAAUGCACACGAACAGUACGUGUUACCUUAACCUUGCCGUUGUUGUUGAACCAUUGGAUGUAGUAAGGAUGUGGAUGUGGUCUUGUGGUGAGAGAUAGUUUCUCCACCAUCUCCAUGCUAGCCAAGUUGUUACAGCUCCCUCCAUCUAUGAUGACGCGAACAGAAUGUUCCUUCACAACUCCCUUUGUAUGGAACAAAUUAUGCCUCUGAUUUUGCUCUGCUUGUGUGACCCGCACACUCAAAACACGUUGAGCAACUAAACAUUCAUACCUGUCAGCGUCUUCAAGAGCCAUGUAUUGCGUCUUAUUUUCAGAAUCAUCUCCACCAUGUUCUUCAUGUGUAAUAAGAGCCAAAGUCUCCUCAUCAUAGUCACUAGCGGACUCAUACCCACCAUCCUCAGUAGCAAUCAUUACACGCUGAGAUUUGCAUUCUCACGCAUAAUGUCCUCUUCCCUUACAACGACGACAAAUAAUAUCACUUGUGUGCCCUGUUGAUGCCAUGGAAGAAGAAGAGCUCUGUGCAGGCCCGGCAGGUGCGCUCUUGGCAGAUAGUGGUGGUUGUGCCUACUUUCUUGUAUCACGGCUGGAGGUGGAACCUGAUGGAGGUGCUGGUGCAGUGGAAGUAGAAGAUGCACGCGGUGUCCAUGAUGAAGGUCGACCUGCAGAAAAGUUAGUUCGCGCCAAUGCUUGUCGAUCCUGCACUUCACGUUCAGCUUUACAAGCAAGAUGGAAUAAAUGAGUGAUAUUAGUAUACUCCUUAUACUCUAGAAUGGUCUGAAUCUCUCUAUUUAAACCACCCAUAAAACGUGCAAGCAUAGCUUCAUUCUCCUCAACAAUACCACAUCUAAUCAUGCCAGUUUGUAAUUCCUGAUAAUAUUCUUCUACAGAAUUUUUCCCUUGUCGUAAACGCUGCAGUUUUUGAAGCAAUUCACGUUGAUAAUAUGGUGGAACCCAACGAGUACGCAUAGCAGUUUUCAAAGCAGCCCAAGUAGCUGGAAUAGGAUAUAAUCUACAAUGUUCAGACCACCAUACACAUGCAAAACUAGUGAAAGCACAAACAGCAGCAGCAACCCGUCUCUCCUCGGGAUAUUGUAAACAUGUAAAACGUUGUUCAGUUUCUAACUCCCAAGUAAGAUAUACAGCAGGAAUGUAUCUACCCUCAAACGGUGGAAUAUUCAAUUUCAGUUUAGGAACAUGGUCAUGAUCUCGUACCUGAGGUGGUGGUGCAGGCCUACCGUUGCGAAUAUAUACCUGAGGUCGACCUGCUGGAGGUGGUGCUGGUGGCUGCACGUAGUUCUGAUUUUGAUCAACCUCAUCCUCAUAAUCGCCCGCAUAAUCGUCAUCCUCCUCAGCCGCCGCAGUAGCAGGAGCCAAAGAAGCAUCAACAGUAGGUGCAGCGGCACCCGGAUUUUGACCAGUCUCAAUUGGAACGCGCUGUGCUCGUCCCACUUGAUUUGGAAGGCGGCGUUGGAGAUGUGGUUGGUGUUGUUGUAGAGGUGCGACAGGUGCAGCCGGUGGUGGUUGGGGAAGACGCUUGAGCAAUUCAUGAAACCUGUUAUCCAGCAUUGUCUCAAACGACUUCUCCACGGCAUCUAUCUUCUCCAUAGCCUCUUCAAAUCUGUUUAGCACAUCUCCCACCUGGCCACUCAUCAUUUGCUGAAAUUUAUCAUGCAACCCCUUGUUCGUCAUGUUCUCCCAAUUAGUCUCAUCGGCUUGUGAUCCUGCCAUGGUUAGCAGCAAUAGAAACACAAAAGAAUAUGAUCCUACAGACUACUAGGAAGUGGUGGUGAUGGUGGUGUGUCACAAAUCCUUCAGGCGAAUCUCAAAUUUUUACCAGUUCUUACCCAGCAGCAGGUGGUGAUCGGCAACCGUUGUAGGCAAAACUCUCAAAGCUUGGAUAGAGCGAUUACCAGGGAGAGUCUAACGCACGACGUAGAUGUAUGUGGAGCUGGGAAGGCUUAUAAUAUGGUAGCAAAAAGGGUCAGCAAUAAUCAAUUCAGAUAUGCAAAGUUGAAUAAACGCUCAACGACGGUACUGUGCUGGUCCUAGGCUAGACCGUGCUAGAGACGCGAGCCUAGAACACUAACAAAAUCACGGCGCUGCACGUAAACAAGGGAGGAGCACAGUCUGAAAAAAAAAUUGCACUUUUUUUUGCUCCGCAACAAUUUUUUUCCGAAAAAGUCUACAAAUGGUCUAAAAACUGCCUAGCCAGAAUUUUCCAGACUUAGUUUUUUUUGAAACUGGAACUAUUUUUCUACUGCGGGUAACAUAAAAGUUUGGGAGUCCUUCUCUGUCACGACUCGGAGUAUGGCGUGAUCUGGAAAUCCAAAACAGAGUAACAAAAUACUGGACUUGGACUGGUGGCGGAGAUGAAUCUGGUGGAACUCGGACUGGUGGCGGAGAUGAAUCUGGUGGAACUCGGACUGGUGGCGGAGAUGAAUCUGGUGGAACUCGGACUGGUGGCAGAUAUAUGUUGCAGGUGUACUCUGAUUGGCGUGAUGGCGGCGGAUAUGUGGUGGCGUAUAUGGACUCGGAUUGGCGGUGAAUAUGUGGUGGUGGUAUAUGGCAGCGGCGAUGAAGUUGGUGCGGUGGUGGUAUAUGGCCGCGGCGAUGAUGAUGAUGCAGUGGUGAUAUAUGGCAGCGGCGACGUGACAACCUGUGAACAGAACUCGAAACUCUAAAGGACUAGACGCUAAGACCAGCAACUUGACACGACGAUGCAACCGCAAAUUCAACAAAGCAAACACAGAAAAGAUUAUGCAAAGGCUCAGAUUGGUUCGGAUAGGAUGAACUAACCCUAAAUUUUUUUUGGCUUUUUCGUGGACUAUAGGUAUGAAGAACAAACUCGAUCUAAACUACGAAAAACUGUAAAAUCUCACCGAGCAACCUGGAAAUCUGAUACCACUUGAUAGAGGCAAAGGUGUCCCGUCUUUCGAUGAGAUGAUGGAUAUCGCUUUUGUGGAAGUCGACUUUGACGAUCCGACUACGAACGUGCGAUGACGUCGUGCCUUAGCAAUCGCUAAACCAACUCCGAGAGGUUAUUGACCACGCCGGAGCACGAUCAACCUAACCACGAGGGUCUGUUUCCUGCGAGCAAACGAAGAACAAGCAAGAAACUGAGAUUGCAAUCUGGAUAUUGCGAAUAUAAGAUGAAAGCUUUAUUGAUCAAGGUGGGGUUCUGUGACGCCUUUGUCUGGUCGUUGAACACAAACGAAGUACGCAAAGUUGCAGCUAUGGGGAACUUUUAAUCUAAACAAAACCCAAAGUCUAAAUGACGCCCUAAGGGUUGUAUAUAUGGAGGAAGAGGGGGGAAUUUCGUGGCCCUUGGGGAAGGGGUCCGAAACCAACCCUAUCUCUUGUUUCCCCACACAUACGAACUCUAAAAACAGCCUAUACUCAAGUAUUUCGAAAUUACAUGGGCCUGGCCCAAUAAUAAGGUGACGCAGGACCUAGAAUAGCCUCUGGACGAAAGUUAUGAAGUAGCAUCUUGUAUAUUUCGUCCAAGGCUUCAUGCACGCAUUAUGGUGGCUUCAACGUCCUGAAAUCAUCACUUGUAACUCCGUUCUUGUUCCCCAUGCGCAUGCCAUCAUCUCCAUGCUUGUUCUUGCUCCAAUGUCCAUCCUUCUCAAAGCUAGGCCCUUCAUUUGUAAGCAAAACAAAUGUAUCCAAUUUAGGCAGCAUCAUAUUCUCAUGAACAUUAGAAUCAUUACCAAGAAACGAAAGUACCUGGUAAUUUAAUUGGCACGCGCGAGCUCUAGUAAUUGGUCCAGUAUGUAUAGCAGCAGGGGCUGUGGGUGUAACAAUGGUAUUGAUGUCCUCAUCAUCCUUCAUCCUUGUACUUGGGGACUUGUCCAUCAUUCCGAGCAUCUCCGAGACGGUCUCCUUGGUACCUAGGCAUAUGUAGUGUCCUUGCAUUAGGUAGCAACCAUGUCUCACAUGAAUGGAAAGGAGAAGCAUUUAGGAGCGGGUUCACCUUAGGUCCAAAGGCGUAGGCUCGAGUGUACAUGGGGAUGAUCGUAGGAUGCUCCGCAUCAUCUCCCCUCCCUUGGGAAAGAUCCGACCUCGGAUCAAAAUCCUCAUCACCAUGGAAACAGUUGUCGUGGACGGACUUGUAAUUGGACGAAGUGGAAGACAUGGCGCAAUCCAAGUACUCCAAGGUGUGUCCGGAGUGGUACACAUGCAAAAAGAGCAAACACAAACAACACUUGGAAACACAAUGGUUAGCGCACACAAAGUGUCCAUCAUGUAAGAAUGAGUCCGUGAGGCAAGAUUGUUCGUGGGAAAGCGCAUGAAGCUUAUCAAGAUGAUAUAGAAUGAUAUGCAAAGCGUUCAUGGGAGAAAAAUCAUACAUUGUGCACACAAAUGUGUUUUGAAUAUGAUGAAUGCAACCACGGUGCAAAAUGAUGUCAUAGUGAGACGGUUUAUCAAUAGCAUGAAUAUGGCAAUGGAUGCUCAAUAUGAUUAUGUUAUCAUGCAAUUGAUGGCAGGCAAUGUGAUUAUUAUGUAUGAAUAUGCCAUCAAGAAAGAUCACAACAAAUUUGCUAAGGAAAUGCACAAGCUCAUAUAUCAUGGAGGACAUGGAAAUACAAGAUGCACCAAGGCAAUCAUAAUGCAAGUCAAUCCAUGUAUAAAGUGCAAACUUCUAAUGGGAGUUGUUGUACCAUCGCUCAAUGUCGUGGCACUCCUCAUCUUGAAGGUCCAUAGGGUCCAUCUCCAAUGUCGGUCCUCCAUCCAAUAGAUGUAUCAUGUAGACAAGAAGAAGGAAACAACAAUGAAAGAAUGACCCAUCCAAUAUGCGUAAUUGAGGAUGGCUCAAAGGGAAAGAGUUCACCUUGAUGAGUUUGUCGAAAAUGUUUUAUUGCACAUCAUAUACGCCUUCACGUAGCCAAUAUGUCUCUUGAUGGUAAUGCCUUGAGAAUCCUUCAAAAUGAAAGAACAUGGCAAACACUUGGAAAAACAAAUGAGGUUAGUGCAAAUGUAGCACCUAUCAUUCGAGUGGUAAGAUACCAAACAAGUGUUCUCAUCAUUCUUAUCAUAAGAAAGGACAAGGUGUGGUAUGGUAUGAAAGCAUAUGAUGCGAGAACAACCAAAUACAAUAGGUUCAAUCAAACAAGCAUGCAUCACACGUAAGGUGUCAAAGUCUCCAAGAUCAAUAAGCAUAGAGGCGACUAUUGGAGGCAAGCGACAAUAAACAAGAUAUAUCAUGUGAGAGGCAUGAGCAUAUAUAUCAUCAACCCAAGAAAGCGAGUAAUGGAACAUGGGUGAUGCAACCAAGCAAGUAAUCAUAGUGAUCAAGUCAAGCAAGCUAGUAGUGCGAAGAUGCAACGUACUAGAAGGAAUCAUGGCAAGCAUGUCAUGUGUGCAAAUAGUGGGCAUAUAUAAUGCACAUGACAUUUCACAAGCAUAAAGGCAAGAUAUGAGCAAAAUAGCAUCAAUAGCAUGGGGCACAUGAUAAACAUGGCAAUAGCAACAAGGAUCUCCACCAAGCAUGCAAAUACACAUAGGAGUAUCAUAAUGGUGAAUCAUGGGUAAGAGCAAGCAAGGGUCACAAUUGCAUGGCAAAAUCAUAGAAAGAGGCAUAGCAUGCAAAGUGAACACGGGAAAAUGGACAUAACAUAACAAGUGAUAUAUAGCCCAAAGCCGUGUGAGAGCCAAGUAAAAGGAAUGCGCGAAGUAAUUGCGCGAAGGGGAUGGUGGGAAGGACAAUCCACGGGAUCCCAAGUCAUCUUUGCUCUCAAGAGCUCGUUUCGUCAACUCAUGGGAUUGUGAGGUUGAUGAGUGUUCAUAAGUACCUACACAAAACAAAGACGAAGGGAAAAUUGUGUGUGCGUGGUAGAUGUAUACAUCAUCCAUCAUGAUGCAUACGUGCUUGUGUCGGUUAGCACAAAAUAGCCAAUGCUCAAAUAAAUGAGAUGCGUGAUAUAGAAACAUGUCAUCCAUCAUGAUAGGUUUGGUAUUAUGUAUAGCAUAAUGGAGACUCAAAUUGUGUAAAGCAUCACAAGAAAUGUCUAGAGCAUUGUUAUGAAUGGUAUGCAUAUGGUGCAAGCAAUUAUGGGAAUCAUGCAAAGUAUGGAAUGCAUCCAGAUCUCCUAAUAUGUAUGAGGAAACUAUGGAGGUCUCCUCAUGAGCAUUAGUGGAAACAUCACAUGGAGAAUAUUGACAACAUCCAAAAUAAUGCAUAUUUGGAAAAAUGUGAUCAUGUCAUGGUAUAGUAGAUGAAUUGCGCAAAUCAUGUAAAGGAAGCAUGGAAAUAUCAUCACAUGAAAAACAAAAGCCAAUGACCAUCAUCUCGUCAUCUAUGCCAUAAGUGCAAAUGGGAUGUAUUUUAAUGGGGCAUGCAUAGUUACUAUGUUGAGAUUGAAAUGAAGCAAUAUGGGAGAUCUCACUUAUAGCAUAUGACAAGUUCAAUGGAUUGUCAAACAUGAAGUGACCAAUAGAAUUUUCACAUGAUAUCCUAUGGAGCAUAGCAUCACAACUAGGCAACUCAACAUGCUCAUCAUCAUAUUCAUCAUAAAUUGGUAAGUCAUGACAUGAAGAAGUCGCACUAGCAUGAAGCAUGGGAAUAGGUGGAUCAACAUCAUGCAAGCAAUCAUUGGGAAAAUAGUCCAUUAGUGGGACAAGAGAAGCACUAUCACCUAUGUUACCUUUGGAGCGUAGCUCAUGUGUUGUAGGUGAGGUUGCAACUUGAUGGUACCAUGUGGGGGGGUUCAUCAUCGUCCACCAUGGCCAUCGGUUUUCCCAUUGGAGGUAUGGACUCGUCGAGGAUAGGCGUGUCGUCAUGUAGGAGACCUAGCACCAAAGAAGAAAACAUACUAGGUGUAGAGGUUAAGUCAUUAGAAAUCAUAGUGGCCCCACAUGCCAUGUCAACUACCUCACUCACUAAGUGUUGUGGCUCACUCACUCCCAAGAUGAUGCUCUCACUCGUAUGGUUGGUGGAGUCACUCAAAUGGCUCCCAAUAUGAUGCUCUCACUCGUAUGUGUGGCAUGCUCUCAAGUGUGGGGCUAGUGGUGGUCACACUCAUCCUCUCAUAGGAAAUGCUCUCCUCAGAUGGCAAUUGGGUCAUCUCAUGAUAUGUGGGUGUCGGAGAGAUGUUGGUGCAAAUGUCUCCAUGCUCAACUCCAAUCGCCGCCUUGGUUGAAGGGAUAGUCCCAUGCUCAACCUUCUUGUCGCCGUCUUGUUGUUGGAGGCCCAUAUGAUGUGGCACCUCGUAGCUCGUCUCCAUGACCGAAGGGAAUUUCCCAUGCUCGGCCAUCUUCCUUGAGGGGCUUCCGAAGAUGGAAGUGUCGCCCUCGCUUGUAGGUGGUCGCCUUGUUGUUGAAGAUGUUGAUGUAGGCGAACUCAUGCGAAGUAGGCGAAGAUGCCGUACGUCCAAAGGCGAAGAUGCCUUCAUAGCACUUGGCGAAGAUGCCGAAGUGGUUGUUGUCGCCGUAGCUCCGUCUUGGUGGUGCUCGUCUCGCGGUCUUCUCUUAUGCUCUUGAAGCGUGGCCUUGGCGUGAAGUAGGGCUUGUUCGGACUUAUGCAUUUGCGCUUGUGGAGCAUCUUCAUGUUGAUGUUGUCGUUGUCGCACUUGAGCUCGUAGUAGAUGUCGUUCGUCGUCGUCGUGCACAUGAUGCUUGGAGGUGACUUGCCCUUCAUGACGAUGUUGGCGAUGGUCGCCAUGGAGAUGUGGACGUGGACGACUUGCGCUUGCAUCUUGUUUGCGCUCCGAAGAUGAUCGACUUGCUCGCCGCCGCCUUGAGGAUGAUGAAGGGGAAGAAGACUUGUAGUCGGCCACCAUGUCGCGUAGUUGAUCCUUUAGCUCGCCCAACUUGGUGUCGAUGUAGUCCCUUUUCCUUGCUUCGGAGUGGUGUAUGUCGAUGGCGAGGUUGUCGAGGCGCUCUCGCAAGGUAGAUUGUGUUCCUUGCAUUUGUCGUUGUAGAUCGAAGAUGGGCGCUUUGGUGAUGUAGUUGUUCACGCCGUCGUUGUUGUCGAAGACCGGAGAUGAAAUGCCUUGCCUAUCCAUCACAAGACUCGAGCAAAUAUGAGUGGGAGAAAGAGAAGAACUUAUACCAAAUGUACCUUGACCGAUGUUGAAGAUGGAUCAAUGAUCACUCAAUGUGUAACAAGGAAAUAGCACAAUUGGUACCAAUUCUUGUCGGUUUCUCACACCUACACAAAUAAGGCUUAUGGUGGAGCUUGGUGAGGAUAGUGGCACAAAAAUUUGAUGCAAAAUGUUAGCAAGAGUCAAUAAUGUUGAAAGAGAUUCACAAAUUCGCAAGUGAAACAAGUAGACCAAUAGCAAAGAAUGGCACGCGGAAACACACACACGGAUAGAUAAAUGGGGUCGUGCAACCAAGAAAUGAGCACAAAAUGUGGAGUCCACGGAAAACGCUCGUGUUGCACAACUCAAGAGAGACGCUAGCACGAUUGCUCUAUAGGCGGAUACGACACUUGUGCACAACCUAUGAUAUGCAAAAUGGAUAAACUUCUAUCCCAAGUAUGCUAUGUAUGUAUGGUUCCCGAUGUUUCUCUCAAGAUGAUCCAAGAUGAUCAGAUAUGACAAUCUUAUAUGCAAUGUGGUAUGAUGCUAUGGCACUUGCUUACGAGUUAUUUGCUCUUUCUCUUUUGCUUAAAAGCUUAUUGUUUUAUUUUGUAUGGCCACUUUGCGAAAUGCACAAACCAAGAUAGCAAUUGUGUAUAUGCGGGAACAAACUUGAGGCACACGAGAUGAUAUGAUACCAAUAUGAUAUGGUAUGUAUGCAAUGGAAGUUGUAGACCACUAAUGUGCACAAGUAACGUUGCCGGCAAUACUCAAAUGGCUAGUCUCGAUAGGCAAGUGACGCAAAAUGGGCUAUGGGUUAUCAAUGCAAUUGCAAGGGGAAUAUACAAUGGAGGGAUACCACGAUACCAAGAUGAUAUGGAGGUUACCGUCCGAGGCGAUGAUGAGUGGCGGUGUUCUUGAUGUAGAUACCAAGAUGAUGGAGACUCGUCCCUAAGUAGCCGAAACACCUUAGGAAACGGAAAAACCGCGAACUCAAAAUCUCAAAUGUCAAAUGUCAAAAUGGUGGUAGAGGGAAUGCGGUGGUGGUUUUGCGGAAACUCAAAGGGAUUGCGGAAAUGCAAUGAUGGGGUUUGGAGAACGCAAUGCGGAAGUGUAGGGUAAGGUGGUGAACUAUACACGAUGUCGGGGUUGGAAGCACGUCCCUAAGUAGCCGAAACACCUUAGGAGACACAACUCACAACACAAACAAAAUUGGGUUAUAUGGAGUGGUGGAAGUGUAUGGUGGGUAAGCCUAUACGGAAGUUAUAGUGGUGGUUGAUGAAGAAGCAACCGUCCCUAAGUAGCCUAAACACCUUAGGAGACUCGAAUCACAACUCAAACAACCACAAGUGCUAUGGGGAACAAAAUUGGUGAGGUUGCGGAAGUCGGUGGUGGUUAUGCGGAAAUUAUGGUGGAAGCCCUAGGCAAAGAUGCCAAAGUUGUCAAAAUUUGAUGGAGUCAAAUGGGGAUGGGACCUAUCUAGGUGGAUAGAGGAUGUCAAUAGCUACUCAACGAGCUAAAGAACGCGAAAAUCGGACUCCGGAUGUGGAAGUUAUGCACAAAACGGUGAAACGGUGAUGCCUGAAAUGUACAGGGGUCGGACAUCCCGGGCUUUGGCCGGAUUUCCGGGACCUGAUGUCCAGAACCGCGCGCGAAAAUGCGCUCCAGGAGCCGGAUGUUCGGGGCACGGGCCGGAUGUCCGGGGGGCCAAAUGUCCGGGGCUAUGGGCCGGAUGUCCGGGCUCCAAAUCCGAGGAUGAACUCGAGGAACUCGAUUUUGGGGCGGAAAUUGAUGAUUUCAAGGGCAAAAUUGGAGAGAUUUCGUGGAUAGAAAGUGGGGAAAAUUGGGGGAAAGCUAGAUCCACUAGUAACAAAGCAAAUUCAUGGAUCAAAAUCAACAAAACAUCAUCAAACCAACAAAUCACAAAAAAUUUGGGGCUAUUUUUGGUGGGGAUUUUCGAAAUUGGGGAAGAAAUCAACAAAACUAGGCUAGAAAACACAACGGGGAGGCUCCGAAAUCGUGAUCAACGUGGCUCAUGAUACCAAGAUGAUGUAGGGUGGAACCCUAGAUGGCCGAUCUUUCACGAAAGGAGCGGAUCCAAACUAAGAACACGAAGAACACGAGGGGAAACACAAGAGAAUCACUCAAACCAACAAGAUUCGAUUACACAUGCGCUAGAUUCAAGAACAAAAAGGGAGAUACACGAUCCACGAUCAACAAAGGACGAUACAAAGGGUAACCGGUUCUUCUCCGUGAGGAGUACUUGAUGGGGGUCUUCUCCGUGAGGAGGUCUUGAAUCCAAGGUGGAUCGUCUCCGUAGAGGGGCCGCGGUCUCUCUCAUGGAGUAGAUCCGAUAUGGAUGAGCAAAGCUCUAUCUCUAAAUGAGCUAAACCAAUGCUAACCCUAGAAAGAGGAAGGGGAUGGAGUAUAUAUAGUCUAGGGGGGCGAAGAGGUACAUGGGCUUCGGCCCUUUACUGUGCGCAGACAGACGGAGCCGGAUGUCCGGGCGUCGGGCCGGAUGUCCGGGGCUUCAGGAGGGGCCGGAUGUCCGGGCUGUGGGCCGGAUGUCCGGGCUGACGGUGCAAACUUCUGUAGUCUCUGGAUAGGCGGGGUCGGAUGUCCGGGAUGGGGGCCGGAUGUCCGGCGGCUCGGGAAGAGCCAGAUGUCCGGGCCACUGGCCGGAUGUCCGGGCUGACGUGGUUCAGCUUCGGGUGCCUUCUGCGAUGGGCGCCGGAUUUCCGGGCUGGUGCCGGAUGUCCGGGCUUGCGGGAGUGGCCGGAUGUUCGGGGCCUGGCCGGAGGUCCGGGUCCUGUAGCCUUUCUCCGGCUCCUCUCGUCGUGCUCCUUCAUCCUUGUACUUGGGGACUUGUCCAUCAUUCCGAGCAUCUCCGAGAGGGUCUCCUUGGUACCUAGGCAUAUGUAUUGUCCUUGCAUUAGGUAGCAACCAUGUCUCACAUGAAUGGAAAGGAGAAGCGUUUAGGAGCGGGUUCACCUUAGGUCCAAAGGCGUAGGCUCGAGUGUACAUGGGGAUGAUCGCAGGAUGCUCCGCAUCAUGAGCCCACCGCAGCGUCACGACCAGAAGCUUUGCAGGCGAAGACUACUUUUGUCAGGAUAAGACGUACUAGUUGUCUCCCUUCGAAUUUGGCCGUUGUGGGAACCCUUCCCGCCUUCAUUUGGAAAGAGGACCAAGGCCGCUAUAAAUAGGACCUAGCCACCACCAUGAAGGGGGGGUCAUUUCAUAUCAUCCUCUCCCACACCAGCUCAAGAACACGCCUCCUGAGGUCGUUCUCCCACUGUACUACUUUAUCCUCAGCUCCUCGAGGCCAAUCCACCACAAAGCAGGAGUAGGGUUCCACACCGCAAGGUGGCCCGAACCUGGGUAAACUGUUGUUUCCCAUUUUGAUGCGGAGCAUCCUAUGGACAUCACCAUGUCAAGAGUUCGUUUGGCAAGUGACACAUGCGACAUCUACUUCACAUACACAAAGGUGAAUCAUCUCCUUUACACGUGCUCACUUGACCCCUUCGAGGAUGGUAUACUACUUGACACUCCACUCGUGUGCAUGCAUAGGUAUUGUUGGAACACUACGGACGACGAGGAGGAGUGCAAGCGCCAAGGAACAACUACACCAUCCGCGAGGGAAGCCUGGAAGCGACGACGGAAGAAGACGGAGCUGCUGAAGCUACAGCAGCCGGACAUCCGGGCCAAGGGCCGGACAUCCGGCGCCUGUGCAGCCGCCAAGGAGCUGCACCAACAGACGGCCAACAGCAUCAGCGGCCGGACAUCCGGCGCCAGCCCCGGACAUCCGGCGCCUCGCCAAAGCCCGGACAUCCGGCCCUUCCCCCGGAAAUCCGGCAUCGACGACAGAACGCACCCGAAGUUUGGCCACUUCAGCCCGGACAUCCGGCCCGAGCUCCGGACAUCCGGCGCCUCGCGAAGCCUCGGAUAUCCGGCCCCCAGCCCGGACAUCCGGCGCCUGCCUGCGCGCAGCCACGGGCCAGAGGCCCAUGUAUCCCUUUCCCGCUUACCCUUUCGUGACUUAGACUAUAAAUAGACCACCUCCUCCUCCAUUCUAGGGUUAGCAUUGAUUUAGCUCAUUUAGAGAUAGAGCUUUGCUCAUCCAUAUCGGAUCUACUCCACGAGAGAGACCGCGGCCCCUCUACGGAGACGAUCCACCUUGGAUUCAAGACCUCCUCUUGGAGAAGACCCCCAUCAAGACCUCCUCACGGAGAAGAACCGGUUACCCUUUGUAUCGUCCUUUGUUGGACUUGGAUCUUACCUUUGUGUUCAUCGAUCUAGCGCAUGUGUGAUCUAUUCUUGUUGGUUGAGUGAUUUCUCUCGUGUUCCCCUCGUGUUUCCCUCGUGUUUCCCCUUGUGUUCAUCACGUUCUUCAUAGGGAUCCGCUCCUUUCGUGAAAGAUCGGCCAUCUAGAGUUCCGCCCUACAUCAUCUUGGUAUCAUGAGCCACGUUGAUCACGAUUUCGGAGCCUCCCCGUUGUGUUUUCUAGCCUAGUUUUGUUGAUUUCUUCCCCAAUUUCGAAAAUCCCCACCAAAAAUAGCCCCAAUUUUUUUUGUGAUUUGUUGGUGUGAUGAUGUUUUGUUGAUUUUGAUCCAUGGAUUUGCUUGGUUUCGAGUGGAUCUAGCUUUCCCCCAAUUUUCCCCACUUUCCAUCCACGAAAUCUCUCCAAUUUUGCCCCCGAAAUCAUCAAUUUCCGCCCCCAAAAUCGAGAUCCUCGAGUUCAUCCUCGGAUUUGGAGCCCGGACAUCCGGCCCGUAGCCCCGGACAUCUGGCCCCCUAGACAUCCGGCCCGUAGCCCGGACAUCCGGCUCCUGGAGCACAUUUUCGCGCAAUGUUCUAGACAUCAGGUCCCGGAAAUCCGGCCCGAGCCCCGGAUGUCCGGCCCCUGGCAUUUCAGCUUUUCCGUUUCACCGUUUUAUGCAUAACUUCCACAUCCGGAGUCUGAUUUUCGCGUUCUUUAGCUCGUUGAGUAGCUAUUGACAUCCUCUAUCCAUCUAGAUAGGUACCAUCCCCAUUUGAAUCCAUCAAAUUUUGACAACUUUGGCAUCUUUGCCUAGGGCUUCCACCACAACAUCCGCAUAACCACCACCGAUUUCCGCAACCUAACCAAUUUUGUUCCCCUUAGCAUUUGAGGUUGUUUGAGUUGUGAUUUGAGUCUCCUAAGGUGUUUCGGCUACUUAGGGAUGAUUGCUUCUUCAUCAACCGCCACCAUAACUUCCGCAUAGGCUUACCCACCAUACACUUCCACCAACCCAACUUAGCCCAAUUUUGUUUGUGUUGUGAGUUGUGUCUCCUAAGGUGUUUCGGCUACUUAGGGACCGUGUUUCGAACUCCGACACCGUGUAUAGUCCAUCCACCUUACCCCCGACUUCCGCAUUGCGUCUCAAAACCCAUCAUUGCAUUUCCGCAAUCCCAUUGAGCUUCCGGAAAACCACCACCGCUUACACUACCACCGUUUGACUUUUGUCCUUGAGAUUUUGAGUUGUGGUUUUUCCGUUUCCUAAGGUGUUUCGGCUACUUAGGGACGAGUCUCCAUCAUCUUGGUAUCUACAUCAAGAACACCGCCACUCAUCAUCGCCAACGACGGUAACCUCGACGACACCAUUGUAUAUUCCCCUUGCAAUUGCAUUGAUAACCCCUAGCCCAUUUUGCGUCACUUGCCUAUCGAGACUAGCCAUUUGAGUAUUGUCGGCAACGUUACUUGUGCACAUUAGUGAUCAUACUUCCCAUAGCAUACAUACCAUACCAUAUUGGUAUCAUAUCAUCUCUUGUGUCACAAGUUUGUUCCCACAUACACACUAUUGCUAUCUUGGUUUGUGCAUUUUGCAAAGUGGCCAUACAUACAAAAAAAGAAGAAUAAGCUUUUAAGCAAAAAAAAGAAGAGCAAAGAAGCUUGUAAGCAAGUGCCAUAGCAUCAUCCCACAUUGCAUAAGAUUGUCAUAUCCGAUCAUCUUGGAUCAAACACCGGGAACCAUACAUACAUAGCAUACUUGGGAUAGAAGUUUAUCCAUUUUGCAUAUCAUAGGUUGUGCACAAGUGUCGUAUCCGCCUAUUGCGCAAUCGUGCUAGCGUCUCUCUUGAGUUGUGCAACACGAGCGUUUUCCGUGGACUCCACAUUUUGUGCCCAUUCCUUGGUUGCACGACCCCAUUUAUCUAUCCGUGUGUGUGUUUCCGUGUGCCAUUCUUUGCUAUUGGUCUACUUGUUUCACUUGCGAAUUUGUGAAUCUUUUUCAACAUUAUUGACUCUUGCUAACAUUUUGCAUCAAAUUUUUUGUGCCACUAUCCUCACCGAGCUCCACUAUAAGCCUUACUUGUGUAGGUGUGAGAAACCGACAAGAAUUGGUACCAAUUGUGCUAUUUCCUUGUUACACAUUGAGUGAUCAUUGAUCCAUCUUCAACAUCGGUCAAGGUACAUUUGGUAUCGUUCUUCUCUUUCUCCCACUAAUAUUUGCUCGAGUCUUGUGAUGGAUAGGCAAGGUAUUUCACCUUCGGUCUACAACAACAACGACAAGUUCGAUGCCACGAACAACUCCAACGACGCCAAGAUGCAAGCUCAAAUGGAGGAGAUCCAGUCCCUCAUCAAGUCCUACAAGCGAUCUUCCUCAUCUUUGAGAAGACGCUCAAGAGCACAUGCCUCCGAGCUACCAUCUCCGGCAUGGUCACAUCGGCAUCGACACCAUCACCACCACGAACGUGAAGGUCAAGAGCUCUACACCAACAACCGCUCAACGCCUUCACCAUCUCCCUUGGCAUCUUCGCCAAGCGUCUUCAAGGCAUCUUCGCCUACGGAUAUACGGCAUCUUCGCCAACAAGCACCUCAAGACUACGCUCAAGAGAAGCUCCCCAAGCUCAAGUCCGCGACUUCCACAAGCUACUACGACCUCGACACCGACCAUGAGAUUCCUUUCUAUGGGACUCAAGAACCCGAGGAGUAUCUCGAGUGGGAGCACCUAAUGGACGACUACCUCAAGCUACAUCAAGUUCCUCCCGAAGAUCAAGUGAAGUGCGCCACAAGAAACUUCCACGACUACGCCUCGACAUGGUGGCUUCUCACACCUUCGGAGACCUACGAAAUGAGUUGGCCCAAGACGAAGAGAGCUUUGCGGCAAGAGUUUGUGCCUCCAACCUACACGGAACAACUUCUACACCAAUUGGAGAACACCAACCAAGGAUCCAAGUCCAUCGACGCGUACUUCAAGGAGAUGAAGAUUGCCUUGCGACGAGCCGGCGUGGACGACCCCAUGUCAAUGAAGUUCCACUUCAUGAUGGGAUUGAACAACGACAUCUCCAAGACUAUCUUCCUCGAGAACUACAAGUCCCUCGACGACAACUACAUUGGUGCUCUCAAGGCGGAACAAGAACGCAUGAAGGCCAAGGCUUCUCCACCCCAAGCACACUUCUCGAAGACCAAGCUCAAAGACGACGAGCAUGAGUCUAGUACCACCAAGAUGUCCAAGCCGGACGAGCUCCAAGACGAUGCUCCCAAGUUCGACUUCACCGCCAUCCCUCUUUGUGGCAUUGAUGAUGCCGAGUCCUCCACGACUCUUUUCAAGAUGGUGCGGCGACGAGUACGACUACGGAGACCUUCAAGGACCAAGCUUUUGAGGCAAGCGACAUGGUGACGAGCAAGGAUGAUGCUUCCAUCUUAGGAGGCGAGAGCGAUGAUGUGCCAUCUUCGGCUUUCAUCCACGGCGACGGCGAUGAGAUGGUUGAGUAUUUCACUUCGACCACGGCGACGUAUGAUGACUUGAGUGACUUGUGCCACCAUAUUGAGAGUGAGAGUGACUUCACCACUAGCCCCAUAUCCGAUGUGUUGCCCCAAUUCCCAUGUGAGGAGAGCCACAACCCCCACCACUUGAGUGAGAUGAGUGACUCCACCAUACGUGCGAUUGAGUGCACCUACUUUGAGGGCGUGAGUGAACCACCACAUAGAGAGAGUGAGGAGAUUUUGAACUCUAACGACUUAACCUCUACCUCUAUUGUGUCUUCUCAUUUGGUGCUAGGUCCCAUAUAUGAUGACGCGCCGAUUCGCGACGACUUCGUCCUUCCUAUGGACAUGACGAUGGCCAUGGUGGAAUAUGAUGCACCCCCCACAUGGUUCCAUCAAGAUGAAGAUGACCACCAUUUGGUCUUUCCCACCUCACCUACACCACUUGAUUGGAAUGACAAAGGUAACAUAGGUGACGGUGAUGCUCUAGUCCCACUAGUGGACAUUUUUGACAUUGAUUGCUUGCAUGAUGUUGAUCCACCUAUUACCUUGCUUCAUGCUAGUGAGAUUUCCCAAUGGGAUGAUUUACCCAUUUAUGAUGAGUAUGAUGAUUGCCAUGUGGAGUCUAUUAGUUGUGAUGCCAUGUUACAUAGGAUUUCUUGUGACAAUUCUUUAGGUCACAUCAUGUUUAACAACCCGCUUGACUUGUCAUAUACUAUGCAUGAGAUCAACAAUAUGUCAUAUUUGCAAUCUCUUCAUAGUGACUAUGCAUAUGCCAUUAAAAUAAACCCAAUUUGCACUUAUGGCAUAGAUGACAAGCCCAUGGUUAUUGGCAUUUGUUUCUCUUGUGAUGAUAUUGAUAUGCUCCCUUUGCAUCAUUUAUCUCAUAUGCCAUGCCAUGACCACCUAGCUUCGGAUAUGCAUUGUUUUGGAUGUUGUCCAUUUUCUCCAUAUGAUGUUUCCAAUAUUGCUCAUGAGGAGACCCCCAUAGUUUCCUCAUACAUUUUAGGAGAUUUUGAUUCAUCCUAUCCAUUGCAUGAUCCUAGUAAUUAUGUGCACAAUAUGCUCCCCAUGAAUCAUAAUGAUAUUGUUGUGCCAUAUACUAGUAUGCGCAAUUUGCAUCCCCAUCGUGUCAUACAUAACAACUAUUCUUCAUGAUGGAUGACAUGUUCUUAUACCAUGCAUCAAAUUUCUUUGAGCGAUGCUUAUCUUGUGCUAACACUCACUUGCACAUACACAUCAUGAUGGAUGAUGCGUACAUUUACCACGCGCACAGUUUCUUUGGUUUGUGUCUCUUUUGUGUAGGUAACCAUGAAUACUUGUCAACCGGGCAAUCCCACGAGUUGACAAAACGAGCUCUAGAGAGCAAUGAUGACUUGGGAUCCCAUGGAUUGCCUUUCCCACCGCUCACUUCGCGCAAACACUUCGCGCAUUUCUUUUACAUGGCCCUCACAUGGUUAUGGGUUGUUGUCCAUUAUAUAUCCUUUGCCCAUCUUGCCAUGUUCACUUUGCAUGAUAUGCCCAUUACUAUGCCUUUGCCAUGCAUUUGUGACCCAUGCUUUGCAUUACACAUGAUGAUUGAUUCUAGUACUUGUAUGUGUAUUUGCAAGCGUGGUGGAGAUAUUGUUUGUUAUUGCCAUGAUUGCUUUGUGCCCCAUGCCUAUGAUGAUACUAUGAUCUUGAUUUGUGUUCGUGCUUGCGAUAUGUCAGGUACAUUGCCUAUGCCUAUUCUUUGCUCACAUGACAUGAUUGCCAUGAUUUCCUCUAGUGUGUUGCAUCUUCGCUCCACUAGUUUGCACGACUUGAUUAUUAUUGCAUGCCUUGUUGCAUCACCAAUGAUUUAUACUUGCUCACUUCAUGCGGUUGAUGACAACUAUCUACAUGCUUUGCACAUGAUUGUUAUUGCUUCUUGUCAUAUCUCUCCAUAUGUUGCCUCUAUCAUGAUAGAUGAUUUGCAUGUAUUGAGUGCAACAAUGCUAUUAGUCUUGCUUAUGAGUUUGCCCCCAUAGCAUUCUCACAUAUGAUUGGAGAUUUUGACAUAUUUCUUGUGAAGCAUGCUUGUCUUACCUGUUUGCACCAUAUACCUAGUGCCAUGAAUAUUGCCAUUGUUGCAUCAUAUUAUUCAUGCACUUGUGCUUCUAAUGGUUAUGUGCAAGAGAAGAGAACCAUCAUGAUGGAUGAUGUGUUUAUCUACCAUGCGCAUACGUUCUUUGUUUUGUUGUGUGCAUGUGUAGGAUUCUUGGACUUUGUGUCGACUUCCGCCUCACGUGAGUUGACCAUUCGAGCUCUUGAGAGCGAGCCUCAUACAUUCUACCACGACUUGCUUCUACACCGCUUUUGCUUGCGUUUCGGCAUUGUGAAGGACGCACAAGGACGCGCCUUCAAGGUGACAUCUUUCUUGAGCAUGGAUAUUAUGGAUCAUACUACUUGUGUUGCUUGCACCAUGAAACUUAUUGUUCAUCUUGGACCACUUGAUUGCACACAUGUUAGACAUCUUGCUUCAACUUGUUAUUUUCACCGUUCCAUGCAUCAUGAUAUAUAUGCCUUGUGUGUUGCAUCCGAUUCUUGGAUUACUUGCUCCUAUCACAUGUUUCGUUGCAACAAUGUCAUCACUUCACAUAUGCCAUGUCUCAUUGAUUGCUACAUGCUUGACUUGAUUGCCUCGCACAUGAGGAACAAUUGCUCUUUCUACUGUGUUGAGUGCCACACAAUAUUCACCACACCCCAUGCACGUUACGCUUGGAUUGCCUUGCACUUGACCCAUAUGUUUAGACAUCUCAUCUUAUUUGGUGUUGUGAAUGAUUCAUAUGCCUACCAUAGACCUUUCAUUGAGCAAUUUGUGAAUGCUUGCUCUGAACUUGAGGCAGAUGCUUAUUCUCUUGACACACAUAUUUGCAUCUCUACCUCCCAUUUACAUGCUUGUCCCCAUUUACAAACUGAAGUAGUCAAUAGAACAUUGUCUACUAUGCUUAGGGCUGUUUUAAAGAAUAAUAAGAAAAUGUGGGAAGAAUGCUUGCCUCAUAUUGAGUUCGCUUAUAAUCGUUCAUUGCAUUCUACUACUAAGAUGUGCCCUUUUGAAAUUGUGUAUGGUUUCCUACCUCGUGCACCUAUUGAUUUGUUGCCUCUUCCAUCUUCGGAGAAGGUUAAUUUUGAUGCUAAACAACGUGCUGAAUUGAUCUUAAAAAUGCAUGAGUUAACUAAGGAAAACAUUGAGCGUAUGAAUGCUGAAUAUAAACUUGCUGGAGAUAAGGGUAGAAAACAUGUUGUGUUUGCACCUGGAGAACUUGUUUGGUUACAUUUGAGUAAGGAUAGAUUUCCUGAUUUGCGCAAAUCAAAGCUAAUCCCACGUGCUGAUGGUCCUUUUAAGGUGUUAGAGAAAAUAAAUGAUAAUGCAUAUAAACUUGAGCUGCCUGUAGAUUUUGGGGUUAGUCCCACUUUAACAUUGCAGAUUUGGAGCCUUAUUUGAGUGAGGGAGAUGAGCUUCCGUCGAGGACGACUUCAUUUCAAGAAGGGGAGGAUGAUGAGGACAUCAAUACCAUUGUUACACCCACAGCCCCUGCUGCUAUACAUACUGGACCAAUUACUAGAGCUCGCGCACGCCAAUUAAAUUACCAGGUACUUUCGUUUCUUGGUAAUGAUUCUAAUGUUCAUGAGAAUAUGAUGCUGCCUAAAUUGGAUACAUUUGUUUUGCUUACAAAUGAAGGGCCUAGCUUUGAGAAGGAUGAACAUUGGAGCAAGAACAAGCAUGGAGAUGAUGGCAUGCGCAUGGGGAACAAGAACGGAGUUACAAGUGAUGAUUUCAGGACGUUGAAGCCACCAUAAUGCGUGCAUGAAGCCUUGGACGAAAUAUACAAGAUGCUACUUCACAACUUUCGUCCAGAUGCUAUUAUAGGUGCUGCGUCACCUUAUUAUUGGGCCAGGCCCAUGUAAUUUCGAAAUACUUGAGUAUAGGCUGUUUUUAGAGGCCGUAUGUGUGGGGAAACAAGAGAUAGGGUUGGUUUCGGACCCCUUCCCCAAGGGCCACGAAAUUCCCCCCUCUUCCUCCAUAUAUACAGCCCUUAGGGCGUCGUUUAGACUUUGGGUUUUGUUUAGAUUAAAAGUUCGCCAUAGCUGCAACUUCGCGUACUUCGUUUGUGUUCAACGACCAGACAAAGGCGUCACAGAACCCCACCUUGAUCAAUAAAGCUUUCAUCUUAUAUUCGCAAUAUCCAGAUUGCAAUCUCAGUUUCUUGCUUGUUCUUCGUUUGCUCGCAGGAAACAGACCCUCGUGGUCAGGUUGAUCGUGCUCCGGCGUGGUCAAUAACCUCUCGGAGUUGGUUUAGCAAUUGCUAAGGCGCGACGUCAUCGCACGUUCGUAGUCGGAUCGUCAAAGUCGACUUCCACCAAAGCGAUAUCCAUCAUCUCAUCGAAAGACGGGACACCUUUGCCUCUAUCAAGUGGUAUCAGAUUUCCAGGUUGCUCGGUGAGAUUUUACAGUUUUUCGUAGUUUAGAUCGAGUUUGUUCUUCAUACCUAUAGUCCACGAAAAAGCCAAAAAAAAUUUAGGGUUAGUUCAUCCUAUCCAAACCAAUCUGAGCCUUUGCAUAAUCUUUUCUAUGUUUGCUUUGUUGAAUUUGCGGUUGCAUUGUCGUGUCAAGUUGCUGGUCUUAGCGUCUAGUCCUUUAGAGUUUCGAGUUCUGUUCACAGGUUGUCACGUCGCCGCUGCCAUAUAUCACCACCGCAUCAUCAUCAUCGCUGCUGCCAUAUACCACCACCGCACCAACUUCAUCGCCGCUGCCAUAUACCACCACCACAUAUUCACCGCCAAUCCGAGUCCAUAUACGCCACCACAUAUCCGCCGCCAUCACGCCACUCCGAGUACACCUGCAACAUAUAUCUGCCACCAGUCCGAGUUCCACCAGAUUCAUCUCCGCCACCAGUCCGAGUUCCACCAGAUUCAUCUCCGCCACCAGUCCAAGUCCAGUAUUUUGUUACUCUGUUUUGGAUUUCCAGAUCACGCCAUACUCCGAGUCGUGACAGAGAAGGACUCCCAAACUUUUAUGUUACCCGCAGUAGAAAAAUAGUUCCAGUUUCAAAAAAAACUAAGUCUGGAAAAUUCUGGCUAGGCAGUUUUUAGACCAUUUGUAGACUUUUUCGAAAAAAAUUGUUGCGGAGCAAAAAAAAAGUGCAAUUUUUUUUUCAGAGUGUGCUCCUCCCUUGUUUACGUGCAGCGCCGUGAUUUUGUUAGUGUUCUAGGCUCGCGUCUCUAGCACGGUCUAGCCUAGGACCAGCACAGUACCGUCGUUGAGCGUUUAUUCAACUUUGCAUAUCUGAAUUGAUUAUUGCUGACCCUUUUUGCUACCAUAUUAUAAGCCUUCCCAGCUCCACAUACAUCUACGUCGUGCGUUUGACUCUCCCUGGUAAUCGCUCUAUCCAAGCUUUGAGAGUUUUGCCUACAACGGUUGCCGAUCACCACCUGCUGCUGGGUAAGAACUGGUAAAAAUUUGAGAUUCGCUUGAAGGAUUUGUGACACACCACCAUCACCACCACUUCCUAGUAGUCUGUAGGAUCAUAUUCUUUUGUGUUUCUAUUGCUGCUCACCAUGGCAGGAUCACAAGCCGAUGAGACUAAUUGGGAGAACAUGACGAACAAGGGGUUGCAUGAUAAAUUUCAGCAAAUGAUGAGUGGCCAGGUGGGAGAUGUGCUAAACAGAUUUGAAGAGGCUAUGGAGAAGAUAGAUGCCGUGGAGAAGUCGUUUGAGACAAAGCUGGAUAACAGGUUUAAUGAAUUGCUCAAGCGUCUUCCCCAACCACCACCGGCUGCACCUGUCGCACCUCUACAACAACAACAACCACAUCUCCAAUGCCGCCUUCCAAAUCAAGUGGGACGAGCACAGCGUGUUCCAAUUGAGAAUAACUUUGCUUCCUAUGACUCCUGAUUCCAUUUUGAAAGAUGACAUUAAUAGAGCUAAUAAAGCAAAACAGGAGAAAAAUAAGAGUGAAAAUCAGAUUGUGGCAAAAGAAUUUGAGCAACAAAUGAAACCUAAUAAUAAACCAUCUAGUGUUGUUUCUGAAAUUAAAUUGAAAAGUGCAUGUUUACUUGCCACAAAAUAUGAUAUUGAUGAGCUAGAUUUCAGCAAAUCUGUUUGCUAUGCUUUUGUGUGCAAAGAGGCAUUAUUUUCAUUCGAGGACGUGCCUUCCUCUUUGCCCCCUGCUGUCACUAACAUUUUGCAGGAGUUCGCUGACGUCUUCCCACAAGACGUGCCACCGGGAUUACCACCUAUUCGAGGGAUUGAGCAUCAAAUUGAUUUAAUUCCCGAUGCAUCGCUACCCAACCGUGCACCGUACCGUACCAAUCCAGAGGAGACGAAGGAGAUUAUGCGUCAAGUACAGGAGCUGCUCGACAAAGGUUAUAUACGCGAAUCUCUUAGUCCUUGUGCUGUUCCUAUUAUACUAGUGCCUAAAAAGGAUGGUACGUCGCGUAUGUGUGUUUAUUGUAGAGGCAUUAAUAAUAUUACUAUUCGUUAUCGUCAUCCUAUUCCUAGGCUAGAUGAUAUGCUUGAUGAAUUGAGUGGCUCUACAAUAUUCUCCAAAGUUGAUUUGCGUAGUGGAUACCAUCAAAUUCGUAUGAAAUUGGGAGAUGAAUGGAAAACAACAUUUAAAACUAAGUUUGGUUUAUAUGAGUGGUUAGUCAUGCCUUUUGGGUUAACUAAUGCACCUAGUACUUUCAUGAGACUAAUGAAUGAAGUUUUACGUGCUUUCAUUGGAUGAUUUGUGGUAGUCUAUUUUGAUGAUAUACUGAUUUAUAGCAAAUCUUUGGAAGAACAUUUGGAAUAACCAAUUCCGAGAGGUUAUUAACCACGCCGGAGCACGAUAAACCUGACCACGAGGGUCUGUUUCCUGCGAGCAAACGAAGAACAAGCAAGAAACUGAGAUUGCAAUCUGGAUAUUGCGAAUAUAAGAUGAAAGCUUUAUUGAUCAAGGCGGGGUUCUGUGACGCCUUUGUCUGGUCGUUGAACACAAACGAGGUACGCGAAGUUGCAGCUAUGGCGAACUUUUAAUCUAAACAAAACCCAAAGUCUAAACGACGCCCUAAGGGCUGUAUAUAUGGAGGAAGAGGGGGAAUUUCGUGGCCCUUGGGGAAGGGGUCCGAAACCAACCCUAUCUCUUGUUUCCCCACACAUACAGACUCUAAAAAUAGCCUAUUCUCAAGUAUUUCGAAAUUACAUGGGCCUGGCCCAAUAAUAAGGUGACGCAGCACCUAUAAUAGCCUCUGGACGAAAGUUGUGAAGUAGCAUCUUGUAUAUUUCGUCCAAGGCUUCAUGCACGCAUUAUGGUGGCUUCAAUGUCCUGAAAUCAUCACUUGUAACUCCGUUCUUGUCCCCCAUGCGCAUGCCAUCAUCUCCAUGCUUGUUCUUGCUCCAAUAUUCAUCCUUCUCAAAGCUAGGCCCUUCAUUUGUAAGCAAAACAAAUGUAUCCAAUUUAGACAGCAUCAUAUUCUCAUGAACAUUAGAAUCAUUACCAAGAAACGAAAGUACGUGGAAAUUUAAUUGGCGUGCGCGAGCUCUAGUAAUUGGUCCAGUAUGUAUAGCAGCAGGGGCUGUGGGUGUAACAAUGGUAUUGAUGUCCUCAUCACACGACGAUGCAACCGCAAAUUCAACAAAGCAAAAACCCGAAAAAGAUUAUGCAAAGGCUCAGAUUGGUUCGGAUAUGAUGAACUAACCUAAUUUUUUUUUUGUGGCUUUUUCGUGGACUGUAGGUAUGAAGAAUAGACUCGAUCUAAACUACGAAAAACUGUAAAAUCUCACCAAGCAACCUGGAAAUCUGAUACCACUUGAUAGAGGCAAAGGUGUCCCGUCUUUCGAUGAGAUGAUGGAUAUCUCUUUGGUGGAAGUCGACUUUGACGAUCCGACUACGAACGUGUGAUGACGUCACGCCUUAGCAAUCGCUAAACCAACUCCGAGAGAUUAUUGACCACGCCGGAGCACGAUCAACCUGACCAUGAGGGUCUGUUUCCUGCGAGCAAACGAAGAACAAGCAAGAAACUGAGAUUGCAAUUUGGAUAUUGCGAAUAUAAGAUGAAAGCUUUAUUGAUCAAGGUGGGGUUCUGUGACGCCUUUGUCAGGUCGUUGAGCACAAACGAAGUACGCGAAGUUGCAGCUAUGGCGAACUUUUAAUCUAAACAAAACCCAAAGUCUAAACGACGCCCUAAGGGCUGUAUAUAUGGAGGAAGAGGGGGGAAUUUCGUGGCCCUUGGGGAAGGGGUCCGAAACCAACCCUAUCUCUUGUUUCCCCAGACAUACGGACUCUAAAAAUAGCCUAUACUCAAGUAUUUCGAAAUUACAUGGGCCUGGCCCAAUAAUAAGGUGACGCAGCAGCUAGAAUAGCCUCUGGACGAAAGUUAUGAAGUAGCAUCUUGUAUAUUUCGUCCAAGGGUUCAUGCGCGCAUUAUGGUGGCUUCAAUGUCCUGAAAUCAUCACUUGUAACUUCGUUCUUGUCCCCCAUGCGCAUGCCAUCAUCUCCAUGCUUGUUCUUGCUCCAAUGUUCAUCCUUCUCAAAGCUAGGCCCUUCAUUUGUAAGCAAAACAAAUGUAUCCAAUUUAGGCAACAUCAUAUUCUCAUGAACAUUAGAAUCAUUACCAAGAAAUGAAAGUACCUGGUAAUUUAAUUGGCGUGCGCGAGCUCUAGUAAUUGGUCCAGUAUGUAUAGCAGCAGGGGCUGUGGGUGUAACAAUGGUAUUGAUGUCCUCAUCACACGACGAUGCAACUGCAAAUUCAACAAAGCAAAAACCCUAAAAAGAUUAUGCAAAGGCUCAGAUUGGUUCGGAUAUGAUGAACUAACCCUAAUUAUUUUUGUGUGGCUUUUUCGUGGACUGUAGGUAUGAAGAACAGACUCGAUCUAAACUACGAAAAACUGUAAAAUCUCACCGACUAACCUGGAAAUCUGAUACCACUUGAUAGAGGCAAAGGUGUCCCGUCUUUCGACGAGAUGAUGGAUAUCGCUUUGGUGGAAGUCGACUUUGACGAUCCGACUACGAACGUGUGAUGACAUCGCGCCUUAGCAAUCGCUAAACCAACUCCGAGAGGUUAUUGACCACGCCGGAGCACGAUCAACCUGACCACGAGGGUCUGUUUCCUGCGAGCAAACGAAGAACAAGCAAGAAACUGAGAUUGCAAUCUGGAUUUGCGAAUAUAAGAUGAAAGCUUUAUUGAUCAAGGUGGGGUUCUGUGACGCCUUUGUCUGGUCGUUGAACACAAACGAAGUACGCGAAGUUGCAGCUAUGGCGAACUUUUAAUCUAAACAAAACCCGAAGUCUAAAUGACGCCCUAAGGGCUGUAUAUAUGGAGGAAUAGGGGGGAAUUUCGUGGCCCUUGGGGAAGGGGUCCGAAACCAACCCUAUCUCUUGUUUCCCCACACAUACGGACUCUAAAAAUAGCCUAUACUCAAGUAUUUCGAAAUUACAUGGGCCUGGCCCAAUAAUAAGGUGACGCAGCACCUAGAAUAGCCUCUGGACGAAAGUUAUGAAGUAGCAUCUUGUAUAUUUCGUUCAAGGCUUCAUGCACGCAUUAUGGUGGCUUCAAUGUCCUGAAAUCAUCAUUUGUAACUCUGUUCUUGUCCCCCAUGCGCAUGCCAUCAUCUCCAUGCUUGUUCUUGCUCCAAUGUUCAUCCUUCUCAAAGCUAGGCCCUUCAUUUGUAAGCAAAACAAAUGUAGCCAAUUUAGGCAGCAUCAUAUUCUCAUGAACAUUAGAAUCAUUACCAAGAAACGAAAGUACCUGGUAAUUUAAUUGGCGUGCGCGAGCUCUAGUAAUUGGUCCAGUAUGUAUAGCAGCAGGGGCUGUGGGUGUAACAAUGGUAUUGAUGUCCUCAUCAUUUCCAUGGCAAAGGCUCACCAUCAUAAGAGGAGGUGUGAGUCUCACGGGUCCUGCAACAGGCAGCCAAACUCAUACCUUUAAAACUUGCCACAUAUUCAAAGACCUGGUUUUGGAGAUCAUACAUUUGGCUUUAGAGAAAGUUGAUUUGCUCGUUGAAGGUGAAGACGAUGUCCUUCAUGGAUUUUCCAUCCACCUUGAGAUCACGGGUGUAGUCCGCGAUCAUGAGGUGAUUGGCAUCGUGAUGAGGACAUGACUACCUUGGAUACGACCAAAAAUAUUGCAUACAUGCAUAUUUAUCAGGUGAUUUCUAGUGCAAACUAUUCAAUAAUCUAUUUAUAUUAUCCAGAACAAAAAUACUUCACACACUUUUGUAUUUUGUCUAAUUGCAGGUGUAUGGGACAUUUGUACAGUCCACAUAUGAAGAUAGGGGAAAAGGAGAAGUUUAGGUUCUGUUCAAAAAGUCGUCUCACGUAAGGAUUCAGAUUCGGACUGCAUAGACAUACCUGACUCAAAACGCCAACAACGUUUUCAUACGGACUCCGAAUUGGGUGAUUCUUUUUUUGUUGGAAAGUAGAUUUCAUCCUCUUUCCAACCCAAUUGGAUUCACCUUUAAAUUCGCCCGGAGCGUUGAGAUAUGGACGAAACAAUCUGACGCUGCAGCAGAAUCCGAGUCAAACAACAAGUCCAAAGGUGUUGCAUCACCUCCACUUGGGCCCAUGAGCCUUGUACGACCUAGGGUUGGUUUUAGGCUGCCUUGGGACGUCCUCCCACCUCCUUGGCCGCCACCCCUUGCUCCUAUAUAAGUAGAUCCAUCUAGUAGCUUUUUCUUUGGGAUUUGUUUAGUUAAAAGUUAGCCAUUGCAACUUCGUGUGCUUCGUUUGUGUCCACCGACCAGACCAAGACCACUUACGGAUCCCCACCAUUAUCAAUACUUCAUAUAUAUUCGCAAUAUUCAGAUUGCUUUAUCAUAUUCUUGCUCGUUCUUCGAUUGCUUGCAGGAAUAGACCUUCGUGGUCAGGCUGAUCGUGCUUCCGGCAUCAUCAGUAACCUCAGGAGAUUGGUUUAGCGAUUGCUAAAGCGCAACGUCGUGCACGUUUGUAGUCGGAUCGUCAAAGUCGACUCCACCAAAUCGAUAGUUAUCAUCUCAUCGGAAGAUCGGGACACCCUCGCCUCUAUCAAGUGGUAUCAGCUUUCAGGUUGCUCGGUGAGAAUUUCCAGUUUUUCGAGAUUAGAUUUAUUUUCUUACCCAUUGUCCAAGAAAAAGCGACAAAAAAAGUUAGAUCUAUUCAUCCUUUGUCCAAGCCAGUCUGAGCCUUUGUAGUUUUCUUUUCAUUGUUUGCAUUAUUGAAUUAUCGGUUGCAUCGUCGUGUCGAGUUGCUGGUCUUAGUGUCUAGUUCGUUUAGAGUUUCGAGUUUUGUUCACAUUAGUCACGUCGCCGCUGCAUCGUUAUCCCUUCCGCUGUCCACCACACCAUCCAUCAAUUUCCACCACGUGCUACCCAUAGUUCAUUGUCACAAUCAUAGUUGAGGUCGUUCACAUCUUCGCCUUAUCCAAUCUACAUCUUAUCAAGUUUGUCUUGGAAAGAGGGAGAGAAAAAAAGACAGAAAAAAAGAGAGAAAAAAAGAAAAAGAAGUCAGAGAAAAAAAGAGAGAAAGAAAAAGAAAAAAAAGUGUGAGGAAAAAAA
rnacentral:lncRNA from 1 species